rnacentral:lncRNA from 1 species
UACCUCAAACAAAGAGGAGAGGGAAAGGGCACUCUGAUCCGAGGGGAACUACAACAACAGCCGGAAGUCACUCAAACAAAGGCAAUGUAUACGCAUCAAAGUCAUUUCUUGAACGGAGAAGAAAAGUAGAUGAAUAAGAAGAAGUCUCAGAAUAAUAAGAGAAAUCAGAAGUCUAAUAAGAGAAAUAAUAAGUCUAAGAAUAAUCAGAUAGAUAGGGCGCAAACAAACAAACAAGUGGGAGAUGCGGAUCUAAGUGCUAUGUGUCGUUUACUUACACUUAUAUCACAUGCUAGAUAGAUUAUAUGAUUUCGCCGUAGUUAAGUGAGUGGAGUUCGGGUUCGGCUGUACACCACGCGCGGAAGAAGAGUUCCAGAAGAGAGAAGUAAACAUAGUUUCCUAAGUGCGUUAGCGAGCAAGUGCUUAUGUUUGCGUUAUUAGCUGCUGACUUUAGCGGGUGCGUGAGAGGUGCUUCUUCCGUAUUGGGUAGCUGCCUAUUAAGUAUUGGGUAGCGUUCUCCAAGUUUAGAGUCUACAGUGAGGUUACGUUCCUCUAUUAGUUGAUGUGCAUGACAUUCAACAAGCGAGUUUAGUUCGCCCUCCCUCCCUUAUUGGAGUUUCGCAGUGUUGUGAGUUUUUUAGGAAGCAAUGCUCUGUGUUUUUACUGUCGUUAGUAUAUCAUAUGCUAGGUAGAUGAUUUGAAACAAGCAUAGGAACAAGGAACGGAAACAAAUAGAAAAGCCAGUUUCGUUCCGCUCGCCUGAGUAAGUCAAUUCGGUAGCUCUUCACACAGGUCCAACUGUAGUUGCGCUCCAAGUAAAGUAGAAAAGUGAAGUUUUGAUGUUGGCGCUCCUAGUAAAGUAUCAAGUAAAGUAUCAAGUCAAAAGAAAGUACUAUCAAGUAUCAAGUGAAGUAAGAAAGCUGCUAGUCCCAGAAAGCUGUAAGUAGGAUGUCCUAUUCCGAUGGUUAAGGUUCUGUUGUAUAAAGUGGGGGUCAGUAACAUAAUUGCCUGAUAGUGAUUGUCCCGCUGAAGCUCAAAGUACUGAAGUAGAGUGUUUUUGGGUGUAAUAGUUCUCUUAUUAGAGAUGAAGCAGUGCUUUUUCAUGAUCUUUCUUUUUUCUGUUCUCAAGUAUUGAUCAAGAUUAUGGGCGUCAAAGCAUUAUCAGAGCAUUUCGGGACAGGGGUUAAUAAGACAGUGUUAGGCAUGGGAAGGAAAGGGGGUAAUAAGACAGUGUUAGGCAUGGGAAGGAAAGGAGAAUAGUAUAUUGGCUUAGCAGUUAAGGGAAGAAAAGGGAACAACUUAUAAUCCUAGGAUCCUGUAUUUGAUCGAGUCGACUUUCUUUCUUAUUCUUUUACUGGCAAUUCAUACAUAAGCUUACUAGAGAACUUUAACUCCACCUUAAAUCACCGCUCUAUUCUAUGACAAACAAACGGAUUCUAGGGAUUCAAACUCGCGCAGAGAAUUCUGUAACUACGUCUUCUGUUACUUCAGCACAAUAACCUUCACCUCUCUCGUCGUCUACGCUUGUGGAAUUGAAGAGAGCGUUGCUAAUAUGGAUUUGAGUAAAAGCACAGCAUUGCUUCCUUAUAGCAUAUUAUAUAUAAGAAAAUGAAGUCAAAAGACUUCCCACCACCACUUCUUCAAGACUUACGUGAGCUCAUGAAGAAUAGAAUCUAUAUUUAGGGCACCCGUAAUGAAACUAACUUAGAUUACAAAAAGACAAAAAAGGACUUCGCUUGCAGCAUACUUUCUCACUGCUGAUGAUCUAUCUUCUUUUCUAAUUACCCUAUAUUUAUUUCUAUACAAGGGCUCGCAACUCUGGGACUAUAUUCUUGCGCCUGCAUCCUCCCCGUUUAUUUUCUAUAAUUCCACUACUACACUCGGUUAGCCAAUAACCUAUCGCGACAAUGAUACAAAAACAACCUCUACGACUCUUCUCGUCUUUUCUACCUUCCUUCUUCUCUUCCGUGAUUGAAGCAGUAACUAACACGGCCUGAGCAAAACGAACUCUGCCCUACUUAGCUACAGCACCGCUUCCUACUAUGUCUUUCUGGAAUUCUCUCUGGUGUUGAUUGCUUAUAAAAGCGAAAGGGAAACCCCUAAAACCUGACCCUUGCGCUUUACCUCCGCCCUGUAAAGCCGGAUAGCCUCUCUGAUUUAUGUCACUUUCUCCCCCCAAAAUCCAGAGAGUAAGUAGGCCUUUGAGGUAUAGCCCGACUCGACUCAUCGGGUCUUUAAAAGCAUAAGAUUGAAUCUUGAGUAAACACAAGAUGGCACGAAGAAGUAAGCGCUUGUAUAGUAGUGUUUCGUCACCAACACCAGUGGCUUCUUUCUGCUCCUGCUCCUACAGCUGCUUCAUCUUCCGUUUCUGACCUGAGCCCUGCUUGAACUUCAUCUUGAGAGCCCUGCUAACGCGGCAGCGAGCAACUAUUAACUGACGCUACACAUGAGCAGUUACUUGUUGAGUCAAAGAGGAAUAUUACCGCAUCUUUAUCCAUAUCUCUACAUCUAACACCCCUCUCUUUUGUUCCUAAGAUUGUUGGCAAGUAUAGUUUCGUCUUCAAGUAUUGUUUCGGGUGCUAGUAAUCUUUAAGGAGGUGAUUCUGAUUCGGGUGCUAGUAAUCUUUAAGGAGGUGAUUCUGCUGGCGAACUCUACUUUUUUGACUGGAAACUGGCGCCGAGGAAACUAAUACGGGACAAGUAUGCUUCUUCCCUUGGUUGUUUACUUGCUAUCUUCUGAAUUGCUUGUAAAGACACUGAACGCACAAGCACUUCCUCAUCUGCUCAAGACUCUCCUCAAAGAAUGGAAUAUAUCUUACCCUAACCCGCCUAUAAAGCAAAGGAAUGUGAUCGCUCACUAAUGCGCAAGGGAAGGAAAGGGCUAUCGCAGUCAGGUAAACUCUACUUAGCACAACAUCUGGUUCUGGUUGCUAGAGUAUUGCCAACUUGAUCCGUAAGCCGAGUUGACUUGUAUCCUUCGAUCUACCAUUUGUUGAUUUGUUUGUUUCUGCUUAAGAUUGGAAUAGCAACUUGUGUGUUACGAGAUACUUGACUUCCGUUUUCGGGAAGCGGGACAAUAUGUGAAAGUACUUUGAGAUCCUGCAGGACAAGAAGUGGAGUGUUUUAAUAAGUGAAAGAGCAAAGGUAGAGAUGUCAUCGACCCGAACUAGACUUAGAGCUAGAGCACCUCUGCAGAGCUUCUAUUGGAGAUUCUACUGAUUGACUUGGGUAUCCAGUAAAAAGCUACCGUUCGUUCUUUCCGAUUGUCGGCUUGUCUCUACUUAACCGCAGCAUGGGCUAUCCGACCUCGCUUCGACUUGCCCUUAGAUUAAUUGCCAACAACACCCUAAACUCUACUUGAAGUUCCUUUACUUCCCGAAACAAAUCAUGUCCUGCUUGUCUGCAGCUGACUUUCUCCUUAACAGUGAGGAGCUCCAUCUUUAUCUCAUUCUUUACCUUCAGAUUCUCUCGUUGACAAAACCAGGGGACAAAUCAAUAGGAAAUGCUAUUUGCUUCGAAUAAUAAUGAACUUCUAUGGAAAUGAAAGACUUUCACGGGCGUCCGAUAUCAUUGAGAAAUAGAAGAAGUGUUAUCGAACGAUUUCCUGCAAUUCGCGUAUGGAAUGAGUCCAAAAUCCAGCAACAAGUCUCGAUCUAUACGAAUGGGUUUUUUGUGUUUCUUUCGGUAGCUUUUUUUGUUUCCAAAGGAUAGCUGAAUAGCCUUACUCCAUAGGGAUGCUAGCGCUUUACUAAGAACAUUGCCAGAAAAAGGGCUUUUCUCGCUUGUUUAGUAUGGUGCGCAGGUUUGGAACCGGGCUAGGGCGCAAUGGCUUUCUCUGCUGUAGGCUUCGCUUCUUCAAGCUUCGAUUGCUGCUUUUCAUUUUGAUAGGCGUAGGUGCUUGCUGCUCGCUCGCCGUCUACUAAAUGAGCCUUCACUGCCCGCUUAUCCAAAAAAGACCCUAUCUUUUCUCUUAAGUAAAGUGAAGUGAACACUUAGUUGGAAGCUUCGCUUUGCUUCCCCUAAUUCCGAAAGACAACACAACAAUAGACUUUCCACUCCAGUAUAGGAAAAAGCUUCUCUUUGAUAGCAAGGGGUUUCCGAAAGGAUCUGAUCGUAGAUAGAGACAUCAAUCUGUGCGGGGGUAGGGGCGGAUGUAGCCAAGUGGAUCAAGGCAGUGGAUUGUGAAUCCACCACGCGCGGGUUCAAUCCCCGUCGUUCGCCCAUCAAUAAAUGGACCAUUUCUUAAGGAGACACAAGACAAACAAGACAUUUUGAUGCAAGUAAUCUCGAGGCUUGAAAAAGCAUCCAAGCAAUUGGUAUCCGAUUGAAAGAUUCGCGUCGCCUACUUGAUUAAAGCACAAAUAGAAUGGCAGAUCAUGAAUUCCAUUAAGUUUUUAAGAGAGACCUUACCCUUUUUGUGAAUCCUUUCUCGGUUGUGGGAUAUAGCUUUCUCUUUCUGUCUUUUCAGUGCUAAUUGCCCCUUAGUUGAAUUCCUUACGAGCCUGGGCCAGCAGUAGCUCUAUCUUGUAAGCCACAAAGGAAAGGUUUUUCAUAUUCAUAUAUCAAAAGAGAAUAGAUCGAUUUUGGACCCUAUUGAAUGAUUUACCUUAGGGUCUAAGGAUUUCCCAUCUGACCGGAUGACCCCACUUAUCAAGCUUUACCUUAGUUUUUCGUUCCCUUCUCUCUCUUUUGCGCCUAUGGAAGUUUUGUUGUAUGUCGAUCUCGGCCCGUGGUGGAAGUUUGAAGGGUUUGAAGUUCUUUUUUGCCUUUGGCCUCCGUGUGUGAAAGGUCAAGUGGAAUAUUGAUUUACGUGGGGAAAAGUGGGAGUACUUCUUAAGUAGGGAUGAAGUAGCUCGACUAACUCAACUAACAAGAUUUGGAUUACAUUCUUCUCUUUUUGAAUGGAAUGAAUGUGAAUAUAAUUGAUAAGAAAGCCAGCUAGGGAAAUGGGAAUAGAAAAUGGCUUUUAUUACUAGUAGGCAUUGUAGGAAAAGACAAAGUUUACAAAAAGCUCCAGGGAAACACUUUGGAGGGCCUUUCUAUCUUUGUGUAAUAUGUAUUGUAAUAAGGCGGAAGGUUCAGUCCAAUAAGUGGAAUGUGGCAUAAGUUAUUGAUUCAUUACCGAGUGUGAGAUUAGACCUAUGUAGCGUUCUCUCUAGUCUUUCCCUCUGCGCCUCUCCUUUAUGGGCAUAUCACUAGGUAAGAAAUGAUACUUAUUGUAUAGGAGUGAGUCUUAGGAAAUGAUACUUAUUGUAUAGGAGUGAGUCUAUUGAUACCAUAAUGGUUGUUUACAUAUACAGUUAUACCAUAAUGGUUGUUUACAUAUAAAGAUAUGGAUGGAAUCUUCCCCCGGUUCUUGCUUUCCAUGGUUUGCUAUCCAUCCCUUCUUUGAACCCCUUUCACAGUUAAGUCAAAUCAAUAGGUCUUUCUUAGCCUCAUCCUCUGAUCAGUUGCUAGACUAGCUGAUUGCAAUUAUGGGUUUCGGCUUUUCUCUUUUUUCUCUACAAUAUCCUUAAUAUCCUUUCUUUCUUGGCCAGUACUCAAUUCUUCCCCUUUAUGUGGGAAUACUUUUACUGGAAUAUGGCCCUAUGCUUUUUCUCCGGGCUAGGUAAAGCAAACUCAUUCGUUUUUUCCAGCCCAGCAAGCUUUAGUAUUCAAAGCCCUCAGGUCAGGGUAAGCUAUGUGCCUUUUUUGAAUUUCUUGUGUGUGAAAAGAGUUAUAGUCCGACUUUAGUUGCUGGCAAGCUCUUCUCCAUGUCAGUGUAAUGCCUUUCUUGUAUAGUGGGUGAGUGUUGCAGGCAAGCUCUUCCCCAUGUCAGUGUAAUGCCUUUCUUGUAUAGUGGGGGUGAGUGCUCAGUCUUUCUAUAUCGUUCCCGUCUCGUUAUCUCAUUCCUCAGUCACAGAAUUCAAGCUAGUAUGUUAGCAAGUUACAAUUUGAUCCGUUUAGUAAGUUUCAAAGUGAGUUCAAGUUCCUGUCUGUUACUGGUAAAACUCCAUUCCUGGCCAUUACUCGUCGCUGUAACACUGUGGAAUCCGUUUCGUUUAUAGUCUAUCUGUUUCUUUGCCUUGCCCCUUUCUUUACCAUAGGUUAAUAUGGCUAAGUCCAAGCGAGUCUUUCUUAGCGGGCAGUCCUAGAAGUCUCAGUAGAUUCGUAUUUCCCUCCAUUAGUUUGGGGUUAAAGUCUAAGGCGAGGCGCUAAGAGAGAAAUGGGAUUCCUCGCCAGCUUUGCACUUAAUACAAAUCCAACUAGAAACCGGCCCAUUGGAAAAAAAGGACUAAAGGCCCUUAUUCCACAAAAGACACUCUGCGACCCUUGCUUAUAUAUAAGUGGAGGUAGUGUUUUUUUCUAGGGAUAGAUCCGUUUUGAGCGAGUAUACUAUUGGACUCUUUUUCUAUACUCUUAAGUAAAUGAAUAGAAUAUAGUGGCGGAAAUGUGAGUCUUGGAAAUAACUCGACCGAAAGGAAGAUCGACAGCAAAGCAAAAGGAAAUCGAAUCGAGGAUCUUUGUUUGCGGAACCUAUCUGCCUUCUUUGUCUUGGCAGACAGGGCCGACUCCUUUCAAGGGCUCCUCGGAAAAGGGAAACACGCGGGCCUCUUACCUACUGCUGGCUUGCUUUAUUGCCGCCCUAGUGGGUGGUUCUUAUCGAAGAGAAUAAACAGAAUCAAGAUCAAUUGCCACGUGCUCUAUUUCUCCUCCGUACCCCUCUGACUCUAUAGGGCUCCCUUGAGUUCAAGUUCCAAUUCCAAAGGGGAGCUACAAGUAGUAGGUAAAGUGAUUCGCAUCCCAUUCAUCAUCUCGUGAAUCUUUUGGUGGCUCAACAAUCUUCCAUUGAGAUGUAACCAACUUUCUCGAGGAUUGCACCCUUCCUGCAAAGAAAUUGAUCCUAAGAUCGCCUAAAGUAAGAGCCCCUUGAUUGAAGGUAGCUUGAGUUAACAAGACACGCCUUCCUGUUAGACAUACUCCCACAGGAUAGACUUCCAUGAAAGAAAACUCGAAUCCCUCCGCGACUGGCAGGCUGGGAAUUACAAUUGCUUACUUUCUUUAGCACUGGGAAAAGUAUUAGGCUAAGAAGAAAGAGCCGGAUUGGAGUAUGGGCCUUAUUCUAGUUCAUCAUUCAGUAGUGCUUGCGGCGUUUUGAUCUACAUCCCGCCUUACUUCAUGGCUGGUGCUGGUAUUGAACAUGCCGAGAGAGGUAGAACAGGGAUAGAACCAUUUGAUAGGUAGGAUGAAAGCGAUAGACCUACGGGUAUGGAAUCGCCCUGAAAGAAAGGUCAAAGCCAUAGGGAUAUGGAGGACAGGGUAAUCAAGAGCGAAUACAACUUCUUCUUUUUUCACAGGAUACUAAUAUGGAGGACAGGGUAAUCAAGAGCGAAUACAACUUCUUCUUUCAAAAUAGGAUACUACCCUUGCGAGUAGAGCAAUUUCAGAGAACAGACCAACAAUAGAUUAGAUACAAUUGCAUCGGGGACUUACACUUAUGUCAUACUUACACUUACUAAUACUAGGCUCAGAAACACCCACCUAUCAAAUGCGGCGAUUGCUAUCCACCUUUCAGAAUUUGUUGCAUAAAGCGCUACGUUUGGAUAGUCCCAUGCUCGGCUAAGCCAUUGAGAUUCAUUACUUUCGAGUCUAAACCCGGCUUCAGGGGGACCUACUUUGCUUCUAAACUGGACCUAUACCUGGCAUGACUUAACGCGGAAGUUGCCCCCCGCCUGAGCACAAUAAGCAUUAGCGUGUUGAAUGAUGGUGCACUCAUUAUUUGUAUCAUUCUUGUAAUCUUACAUUACCCCUCGUAUAUACAAUACUAAACUAAACAAGUAACAGAAGAAGAAAGGGAACCUCCACUAAACAAGUAACAGAAGAAGAAAGGGAACAAGCAAGUGAAGUCACGUUUGAGCAAGGGUAGCAAGUAGUCUAUAGGGAUAGGGAGCUAAGCAAAGUCCCUGAUUCUCUAUCUCUAUUUCGAAUUACUAAUUCUAUAAUAGACUCUAUUCAUACUUGACUAACGCGCAACCGAACUCUACCUUUUACUACUUGCUUCAUUUUCUCAUUGCUGAACUCCUCAUUUGUUUUUCUCGAGAAAUCAGCUCAAUCAAUCAUUGAUGAAAGUCAGAAUUGCCAACUUCCCCACUUGUUUAGGAAAAGAAAAAGGUAUAAAAAGACUCCUUCUUGACUUCUUAUACAACUCAUAGUAAAGCCAACCUCUAGUAACUUGUCUAAUGAGCCAACCCAUAACUCAUCUAAUAAGCUUAGCUUCAUUACAUCUACCCAGCUUCUCUUCUCUCUUUGCAUCUCAUUCUUAAGCUUAUAUCCGGCCUGGUAUUCUACUUGCUUUCCGCCGUGAUGGGACUAGGCUUCAAUUAUCCCCUUUACUUGGACAAAGAACUAGAAGGUCAAGAAAGAAUCCAACUCCAGAAAUAUAUAUCCAUCAGCAGCAUUUUCCCUUUAUUAAUGGCUUUUCUUUCUCAUAAGGUUUUUCUGUAUGAAUGGAAUCUGAAAGGAAUGGUUACGUAGGCUUUACUGUAGAAAGGAAUGUUACGUAGGCUUUACUGUAGAAAGGAAUGUUACGUAGGCUUCCAAGGUUCCUAUGAAUAGAAUCUUGCUGACUUUGGAGAUCUUUAUUCUAGAGUGGGUCUUCCAAUCUUACUUUUCUUAUUUCGAUGGACAAAACAAGGUAAGAAUGCGAAAAAGCUAUUGACUAAAGAGAAUAGGUAAUGUCAUUGUAAUUGAAAUAGGGUAAUUGAAUAGUCAUUUCAUUCUGAAAAGGGUCUUUCUUUAUCUCUGUAGUCCUUGACUCACUCGCUUUCUAACCAACCCGACGAGUUGAGUUACUUAUCCUUACCUGGCUAGCUAGUCUAAAGAAGUAUGACAUAUCACUGAUUUACCUUGCAGGCUCUCUUCCUCUUCCACUGUUACAUGAGUGCGAACCCUCCUUUUCCGAUUCUGCAUCAAUAUAAUGGAGUGGAGUAGAUCCUCAUUAUUCCACAGCAAUUCCAUUCGAGUUUGAACCCUCGAGUCAGUAGAUACUGGUUUCUAAUAAGGAGUGAAAGCGUCAUCUUCAAAAGUAGGAAUAAGGCUUGAUCUCGUCCCUUCAAUGUCCCCUGGUAGGCUAAACCGGCAAGAGAUAGCAGUCUAUACCUUAAAGCUCUAAGUCAAUAAGUCGGAAGGCUACUAAUAGAAAGAACAGAGCUCAUUUUCUCUCACCUCGGGAAAGGCCUGCCUAUUAAAGACAUAAGUGCAUCAAAGCCCCUUCCUGCUUUUGGGGAGCAAGUCAUAUUCUUUUUUCUACAAGAUAUCCUAGAACGUGCUACUGACAACAAGGAAGUCGGUAUUGUUUGCUUACAUGGUAAAUAACUCCAAAUCUAUGAUUGGGGCUACUAAAUUCAGAGUGAUCUGUCUAUUCAAGAAAAUAGCUUUUUGAUUAGUUUCAAAAACCCCAAACCUUGAUUUCUUGUUUCUUGGAUCAAGGGGGCUCCGUAGAGCUUCACUAUGCCCACCCGCUCCUUGAAGUAGAGCCUCCAUCAAAGCACCUGUACCCUAUCGGGGUAGCAUCUUUUCCUACCGGCCACAAGCUUGAAUCUUGACCCGCUUCUGAAUCUGAAACCCAGACUGACUGCUUCUUAACUUGCUUGCGUGAAGUGGUAUCCAUUGCGGCUUCUACCAAAGGGGCUUUCAAUGCUUUCAAAGAAUUCCAUGAUGAAUCGGGUUGCUGAAAACAAACCCCUUUUCUAAAGCUUUCCUAUCUAUUAAGUAAGAAAACUUAUGAAGUAACGCUUCUUUGAUUCAAGAGCACAUUCUCCUUCGGCAAUUUGAAAGCACUAGCGAUCCUAUCCUAUACCAGUCACUUAUGAUCGCUUCUAUCUCGGCUUUCUUUCUGUUGACUUUGGACUCAAUCUUUCAAAGGUGGAAGCGCUAACUAGUCUGUCUCACCUGGUCUCAAUGGAGAUGUGUAGGGUUCAGGACAUAACCCUCGUCCGUCUGCUACCAAGCCAUAAUCAAGUUCCAAAAAGGACUGAUGGCGAUCGACGAAUGCGUGCUCCGUAGCUGUUUUGAAUGAACGUCGUCUUUCUCAGACCGUGUAAGCUUAUAACCACUUUAUGGCUGUAUUGCAGUUGUGGAUUCAGAACAAACUUAGGAGAGAGAAAGUUCUUAGGACCUCCUUUUCUGAUAUCACGAUAUCUAAGAGUUUAAUGGACUGUGAAAAGGAAGUGAAGACAAGAAUAGAGGAAGAAUUCAGAAGGCAAGAAGAAACUACACUCGACCCAGAAAUAAGACUAUUGCCUAUAUAAUAUAGAUCAAAGAAUCAAGAAAUCAAUUUCGAAAGAAAAUAAGAUAAGAUCAUGUAUAUAAUUGUUAUUCAUAUAUUCUUAUUCAUUUGUGUGCUUAUUAUUAUGAGAUUUGGUUGGAUUAUUCCUUCUAUAUUAAUAUCCAUUCUUAUGAAAACUCUUUCUGCCCUAACUGCCUCGCUCUGUAACCCGGCGUUAUUUCCCUGAUAGUUCUUCUUCCUUCAAUCGAGUUGGAGUUAUUAUUCUCUCAAUAGAAAUAUCAGAAUGAUAGCAGCUAGUUUGAUUCGAGUGAUAAGGCCCCGGCCCUCAAAAGAGUCUGACUUCUUAAUCCCAUCCCCAACAUUCUAGCCAUAUAGUAGCUGUGAGAAUUGCCAGCCCUAUACUAUAGUGCCAAAAGGGAAUCUCCUAUUGAUUGUAUAAGUUAGAGUUUCCAGCCCUCCGAUAGGCUGCUUUCUUACCUGUUAUGAAGAAGACUCAUACUAUAGAUAGAUAUGCUUGACCUAAUAUGAUAGAUAUGCUUGACUCUCUCUUUCUGGGCAAUUCAUCGAUCAGUUAAUACAGCUGGUUUGUUGGAGAUAGCAGGUUAUCGAGCAAUAAAGCUUACUUAGGAAAGCUCGAGUUAUAGGCGAGUUAUAAGUCCGUCCUUCCAAUUUCACAGUUGCUAUAUGAUAGUCGCACUUAUAGGUAUUUUAGGCACGAAAGCAGGAUAGGAAAGAUGCUUCCUACGCGAGCUCAAAUCCAUUGCAGCAAGAAAGAUCAAGAAAAGAAACGGAUUCGCUCGACCGGGACUUGUGAACAGUGAGCAUAUGGGCAUAAAGGCAUCAAAUAAAUAGGAAAAACUCGAGUAGGCGGCUGACCCUCUUGAACCUCCCCUUUCAGAAACUCCUAUGGCCGAUCUUCCUUCUUAGACUCUAUUCCAUCCCGCUUAUCCUUUUGAAUAUCAUUGAUGAAUUGAUAGUUUUGCUACCGCCACUCCUGAAGAACGCCUGUUACGUUACUCUCUUAAUAAGGAGCGAGUCUCUCUUGAUUAAACGCUUAACGGACUAACUGGGGGUGAUUGGAUCGAGGUUCAAUAGGUAUGAUUAAAGAAAGAAUAGGUUGGUAUAGAAUAAGAUUGGGUCCUGAUGGUCUGCAUGAUUCACAAGAUAGACGGAGAGAGGUUCUGUUAACUGUGUGUUUUCCUUCCUCCCCUUGUCAGUCGAGUGCUUACGAGCAUCAAUCCUUUUCUAUUUCACUAAUUCUCACUGUCCCUAGAUAGAAUAGAUGAGAUUCCAGAAAGGGUAUGUAUGUCCCUAGAUAGAAUAGAUGAGAUUCCAGAAAGGGUAUGUGAGAUUCAAGGGUAUGUCCCUAUAGAUAGAAUAGAUGAGAUUCAAGGGUCUGGUCUGUCCCUAGAUUCUAUUUAAAGGUAUGUUCCUAGAUAUAAUGGAUUCUAUUAAGGGGUCUGUCCCUAGCCUGGAUAUGAUAGAAUCUAUUUGAUGGUGGAUUCGCCUAGAUAUGAUAGAAUCUAUUUUAGGGUGGAUUCAUGGAUGAGGUCGAGUGGUCUCAGUUGGAGAUGGUAUAUUGCACUAGUUUAUGGAUUGAACGAGAUUAACACUUGGAACAUAGGACAGGAAAAACAAGGGUCGAGACUGAUAGGCUGGCUUGGGGGAAUAAUAAUACUGUGGCCUCCGCAGAACGGAUUGGAUGCUCCCCUAUUAAUUAGAAUAUGCAAAGCCAAUGGAAUCGAGCUGACUAAGAUGGAUGUAAAGUACUUGUUUAAGUCCUAGCAACAAAUCUUCUGUUCUUUUCUUUCUUUGCGGGAUCGGUUUCAUUCCUAUCACUUUGCUUUGUUAUCAGCCCGGUAGAAGUCAGAGGGUUCCCUUGAUUGUUAUCGCUACCGGUGGAAGGAAGAGGGCAGUUCAAAUACCUUGAUUGAGACGAGACGGUAUAAGAGGGCAGCGUCAGCUGCUACCUUGAUUGAUAGCUAUUAUGAUCAGAUUCCAUGUAUCUGGAUGGAGUCUUCUAUCAUUUAUGAAAAACACUCCUGUCCUUACUGCCAAACUGUAGUAAGCUAUAGUAUUUUGCUUGUUUGCUUGUGUUGCUUCUUCACAGCAUAGCUUCAACACUCUCAACUCUACUUAAGAAAAUAAUACAUAUAAGUAACAAACGGUGAACGAAACUCUACCCUUGGCGCGCCCUAAAAGAGAAGUCCGUUAAUGUACCCCGGAAAGUAACCUAACGCUUGCACAUUCUAUACAAGAAUAAAGGUCAACAACUAGCGCUUAAGUAUCACAUUCUAGAAGAAAGGUCAACAACUAGGUAAACAAACGGAAUCAGAAUAAUAUCAUUGAGUGCCGGAGUAACAAAGCACUAGUGUGCGCUACUAAUGCACAACUCGCUAACGCAGGAGCUCAACUCAAGCUUCUAACUCAACGACUAACGCAAUUGAAUAUCACGUGUAACAUAGUUUCUAGUUGAUUAAACAAACAAGCAUUCUUAUUAACUGGGUAGCAAAGUCGACUCAACGGGCUGAGGUAAAUAAAUCCGAAUGGAAGAGAGCUCUUAAUACGCCAAGCCAAGAUAACCAUCACAACUUCUCAAGCCAAGAUAACCAGAACACAACGCUUCUAAAUUGAUUCUCUAAUAACUCGCCCGCCUAUAAUGAUAAGAUAAUAUAAGAAAGCCUUCACUGAACUUAUAAGUAUAGGCCGGUCUGCAACUAUCAAGGUUUUUUCCACUUUACGAGAUACAGCUAUCGCAGCUACAGUUUGGCCUUUCAGUCACGCGUACCCUAAACUCCAAAACCAACUUCAGGCUAAUGCACAACUCAAAGAACUCUGUUAGCCCAUACGAUCAAAUGGUUAUUCACAUAACUCAACAAACAACGGAACAAGCAAACUAACCGCAUUGCUUCUAUUGCUUGCUUCUUUUCUGAACCCUAGAUUUCAGUACUCAUUUAUUCUCUCAGCAGCCAGCAGCUGACGCUGACCUUGCUUUUUGACCUUGCUUGUUUUGUUCGAUAACUCACUGACGUCUGCUUGUUUACUUACUUAUGCCUUUCAGAAUGACUAUGGGCAUCCGAGUCAGCUAAGCUUCUAGGGAUGAUAAAACAAUCGUCUUCUCUCUUCCUACUCGAUCUUCUAGGGCGAAUUCAGAUCUUAGCUUUCCCGGUCGCUGGAGCAGCCGCCACUCUCCCUUCGCUCUGGAACACCAAUGAUGAUGAAGAUAAUCCUUCUGAUUCUGCUCUUAACAACUUCUUCUGGUAGUAAGAUACUCUUUCUUUUCUUCUCUUCUUCUGCUCUUAACUACACCUAUAUUUAUUGCGAAAAUAGACUCGCCUUUCUACAAGCAAGACAAAGAAGCAAAGCAAGAGCGUGAAGUUCCGCGAAGAGGGAAAGAACGUAGCUAGAGCAGUUCCAGCAGUAUUUCCUGAUGUGUCUUGCGGAUGCUGGUCUUUUUGGAGUUCUCGCAGUAUUUCCUGAUGUAUCUUGCUUGCGGGUGCUGUCACUCAUGCAGGAGCCUCUACACCAGGUGUCAUGCAAUAACUAUCAAAGUGGCAAACGCGGUGGCUUCGGGCAACAACGGGCAUUUCCCAUUCUUCUCUUAGUGGGUGGGACAGCCAGAGAUGUAGGGUCUAGUGGUUUUCAGCCUAGAUAAGCUACAGCGGCAAAUCACUUCUUACGAGUUCCCAACACAACUACGCGUAAUACUUUAAACAGGUGUGGCUGGAUGCUUCUUCUCAAUAGGAAUAGUAGUCCAAAUCCAAGCAAGCUUAUUAUGAACAUCUAUUGGAGUCGAUCAUUUCCAAGAUCCAAUUCUAGUUUCUUAUUAUGUAAUGGAAUAGCUUUACAAUCUUCCGUUUUACGCUGUAGCUUAAAGGAGAAAAUGUUCUUGGUGGAUGCAGGACCAGGUACCCCACUCAAUUGUAUGGAAGAUGAGCUUACAGGAGUGCCAAUAAACCGAGCCACGAGCCACAGGUUUGAGAAUAAGGUGGGAUCCCAGAAUGUAGUGGCAGGUGACUCACAGAUUCCAGAGCGGAUUAAUGAUAGAUUCUUAAUGGAUCUAGUGGCCGGUCAAUCACAGAUCAAAGAGCGAGCUGUCUUAAGGUUUCAUGAUUUUUGGGGAUCCCUGGAUGUAUUGGCUGGUGAACCGCUUCUUCUUCCACGAAGAUUAAGACAAAACCGAGCUUGGAUAGAACUGCAGAAGAAUUGGCGAACGAAUAAGAAGGUCAAAGGCUUCAUUAUUAACAAAGUCAAAGGUGGUUAUUCAGUAGCCAUCGCGGGUUUCAUUACCUUUCUUCCAUUCUUUCCUCUCAACACUCAAAAGAUAGCGAAUGAUAGAUUCACCAUUGAGAGCAUUAAUCCCAAUAGGAGGAAAAUUGUGGUGUUCUAACAGCAGUAGAUCCAAGUAAGAUCAAAAUCCAAUCAAAAGGAAAGGCUCUCAGCUCCUUUCUUUUGUUGAGGGAACUUCUUACUGCUUGCUCUUUGAUAAGGUAAGCAGAGGAGCAUUGUAUGCUUUUUUGACCCUUGUCCCAUCCAUUCUAGAAGUCAACAACAGCUUCAUCUCGGCUUAGCUUACGGCUUCAUCUUCGUCAUAGAACAUAAAUAGUCCAUCCCGUGCUCAAGCUUUCUCUUCUAGGUUUGGUCCUACUUAUUAUUCUUUACGAAAAACAAACAAACCCCAAUUCUCAACCGGCGUGGCACAGCCUUCUUCUCAAUAGAACAGGAAGAGGAGCAAAUAAGGACCACCAAAAGUAACGACAACCAAGAUAGGCAUAGUGAUUCGAUCCUUUGAGAACCCUAUUUUGAAGAACCACUAUUUGUUGGGGCUUACCCCUAACACACUACAGAUUGGAUUGCCUGAUUCACGAGUCUUAUAUACAUUGUUACGAUCACCUUUUAUUGAUCAAAAGUCCAGAGAACAAUUUGAAAUGAGAAUAAAGAAACAAUAUCUGGUCAUAAAAACAGAAAGGCAUGAUUCAUUGCGCAAGAAGUUCUUUCGGUUAAAACGCCGUGCGACUCGGAGAACAUAAGACUCUUUUGUAAGGCUUCUAAUCUUGCCUUGCCGACGGAAUGCUCCUACCCCACCAUGCCUAGCCCUUUCCCUUAAUCAUAGGAGAGGAGGUAUGAAGCGUGGAAAAGAAUGCAAUCAGUGUAUAUGACAUCAUCAUGUAACCUUAAGGAGUGGAGGUAGCAAAACUCAACAUUGAUCAACGCGAGUGAACUGUGCUUAGACGCUUCGUCAAACCGCACCACAUCUACAAGAGGAGCAAAUUGAUGAGUGGGCUUCCCCUUUCGAUUCACGGAAUGUGAUCUGAGACACGAUGGGAGUUUGCGUGCCUCGGUAGGCAAGAGAUCACCGGAGUAUAGCACAAGAUCGCCUUUUCUUGCUGCCAUGGGGUCAACCUGUUAACAAGGUAAACCCAAUGGGAUGGGAACCAAAAAACAGUAGGGUACCGCAUUGGGCAGAAGACGAUUCAAAAAGCGAAGGCUCACCCUUGGAAGUGCCGGGUGAGAUAGGCAACAGGUAGCUUGCUUCCAUGCCGUCUACGAGGAAUCAAUAUCUCUUUGCCGGUGCUGACUUGGAUCUCGGGUGACGGAAUAAGGCGGCCAGAAGCCACUUUUCGUUUACAGCUUACUUAGCGGGCGAAGCUUUACCGAUAUAGGCAGUAAGCUUGGCCACAGCGAAGCGCUUACCAAACGCUAAAUCAAGAGGGCCUUCGACACUUGAGCCGUAUGCGGGGGAACUCGCACGUUCGGUUCUUUGGGGGGGAGACCGUCGGUUGAGCCAUUCCAUCCCAAUAGCGUAUAUUUGGAGCUCAAUAUUCAAUCCGUCUUUCUUGCAAGACCCGUUUAGAUAAGGGAAAACUCAAGAGAUUGCUUCGAAAGCUAUCGAAAAUACCUUGAAUACACUAACCGAAUCAUAUCAUAAACCAGAACCACAUUGGAUAUUGUGUCUUGGGUUCUUUUGGGAUAAUGGAUAACAAAUGUAUUUUCUUACGCGCUAUAUCCCCUGCUGUUUGUUGUGGCUUUCUCAUUCUUGUACAACACCCAACCUCUGGAGUUGAUUCAUUCUGUCAUCAUUGUACCACUAAAUGUUCAGGACGAGGGCAAGUCCCCAUUUGGAAGAUGCUACUCCGGUGACUUUGGUCCGCAACCGACAUCAACUAUUUCGUUUCGUUCGUAUAGAAGUCUGAGUGGAUCAGUAGCUUCUGCAUAAGCAGUGAAUUAUAAGACUGCGUGGAAGCUGGUCCGGGUUUCUGCAAUAGGGAGCAGAGCAAGUAGGUCUUCGGCACGCCACACUUGAAGAGCUUUCCCGCUCGCUUUCUGACGACACUGUCCUUUACCUGAGCACUGUUACACUGUAGUGAAUGUACAGGCAUUCAAAUAGUUUCUACGAAGUCGUAUAUUUAGGUAGGACUUAUGAGAUGAGAACUUACAACCACUAGGCAACCAAAGUCAUUAUCUCAAAUCUCUAAAGUGAAUUGAGUUAAGGGAGGACCUUGGGGUGUCGUGGAAUAAUUUGGUUCGAUUCCCGUUAUACGUGAUGUGGCAAAAAACACUUAUGGAAGGGGAAAUUUCAUGCCUGCAUUAAGAUUUCAAGCGUGUCGUCUACUUCUAGGAAAUGUUCGGAACAGAGAACUUUCUCUAAUACAACGCAGCAUUCUCCGAAGAUUGAGGAACAAGAGGAGAUCAAUCCAAAUCAAUCUUUCUAGGAGAGAAAAUCGAAACUGUUACAUUAAAUCACAAACAACACGAAAGUUGUCCCUUUAUUAUGGAGAUUUACCUACAAGGGGGCUUCUUCGGAGAGGAAGAGAACGAACUUCAUAUAUCCCUUUUCUACUCAAUCAAGAAACAAGAUCGGACGUGAUUCUGGUUCGUCUCCAUUUUAGUAAAACCAUUCCUCAAGCAAGGCAGCCGAUAAGUCAUCGAAAGGUUAGUUUGAAUAAUGGACAGGUCAGCAUAACAAGUUCUCAAGUUUCCCACGGUGAUCUAAUAUCUUUUCCAGAAACUAUAGCCGAAAUACAAAUAAGGAGAUCUUUCUAUAUCGACAUAUCAGUUGGCAAAAUAAUAGGGAAAUUCCUGCCGGUCAGAAUGUGGAGAAGAACCAAAACAGAAUGGUUCCGCUUACUCAAAACAAAGAGGGGGUGCCGUCUACUACUCCAAUCCGGGUUUUUGCAAGAGUUGCGUGAUUCUAUGCAAGAAGAAGACUUAGAAAGAACAAAGAAGUUUGGAUCCGCUAAAGUAUGCUUAGGCAGUUCCUUCGCUGAGCACAACAGAAUGAAGAAGAAUUUGUUUCAUUUCAAAUACUUUUUCUUAUUGAAGAGAAGGAAGGAGAAAAACCGAAAUCCUCCAACUCUUUCCAUAUGCGCUUUUGUUGACAAGUAUAAAGUAUAUUGUAAUUCGACCUAUUGCUCUGGAUCCCCUUUUACUAGGAAGAUAAGAAUCAAAAGGAUCGAACUACCUACUCAUUAUUCGGAGGUAAAUCAUAGAACACCAAAAGCUGUGGUAUCUUAUGGACCUAACUUAGGGAACAUCCCUCACGACAUAAGAUUGAAAGAUCCAAACCUUCCUCUUUAGAGCUGAUAAGUAAGAAAACGUGGCCAAAGCAUAUAAGCCCUCAUAGGGAAAUAUCCAUCCUGGGAGUAUAUCUCUCCUUAUAGAGAGGGUCUCCCUUUGGAUAGAAAUCAAUAUGUAAGACCGUCGCAGUCGACUAUAAGUAUCAGAUUGCUGGCCUGAGAGAAGGCAGUCUCUCUCGGGAAAACAUUGCCCAAUUUCUCUUCUUUCUUUUCACACAGGCGAAUAAAAGACACUAUGAACGAACAUGAGUUUCAAAUGCUCAAAGGGGAACACACUUUAGACAAAGGGAUUUGUUGUCAGGAGGAGUUUGGACUUUUCUUAGAAAGUCAAGCUCUUGACAAGUCCCAAGUGGAUUCAUAGGUCAUUAAUUCAUGAAUUCUUGUAAAGCUCUUGACAAGUCCCAAGUGGAUUCAUAGGUCAUUAAUGAAUGAAUUCAUUCCUCAUUUGUUGACUACAGAGAGGCGGAACAAGACUCAUUUUGUUGCUGUAGAUCCUGAUUAAUAGCGGCAGUGAGCUUUCUAGAAAACCACUUCUCUUUCCCGUCUACCAACUCUGUAGACUUUCUGUAUAAGAAAAGAAAAGCCUAUCAAAUUAUAUCUGAUAUUUAUAAAGAAUAAGAGUGGUCUGGUCCACAGAUAUAGGAUUCUGUUUAGAAGUUUGAGAGCAGUAGAGCCAGUAAACCUAUACUGAGGGGAAUUGACUUACUUACUUAAAUGUGGAAGAUUGCUCAUAUCUAAUCCCUUAUACUUGGCCUAUUAAUUAACUUGUUGUUACUAUAUCCGUUCUUUAAUUAACUUGUUGUUACUAUAUCCGUUCUUCUGCUCCCGUUAGCUUAGUGUUUCAAGCAGACAAAAGUAGUGAGUGACUUAGAAGCGGUUUCUCUAGGGUGUAGUGGUCCGGUCCUGUUUCAUCUGUCUUUGUUUUAUUAGUUGACACGCGUAGUAUUAGUUUACACUGGUCCAGACUUAUUAAUGGUUGCGAUAGCAGUAGCAAGUCAAGCAGAAGGUAUCUCAACUAUGAAUCAGCAGGAUCAGAGGAAGAAUUCUAAGAAAGAUCCUUAUUGAGAGUCGAGCGCAGAAGAAUCACCUCUCUCGUCCAAAAACGGAUUCCACUUUUCUCUAAAGUUGCCAACUAACAAGCAGAGCUACGGCAGGACAAUAUGGCAAUUCCUCAUCACCCAUAGGAAAUGACUGGAAAUCUGAGUUGAAGCGUUAACCGACACCACUACCCGGGCCGGGCCCUCAAACGGAAGUAUACCACCGCACAGAUAGAAUAUGGUUUUUCGGUAGAACUGCUUAUAUACGAUACUUAAUAGAAUACGGGUUCGUUUGUUCCACUAUCUGCUCUCGAGUCGCCAACACUUAUUGUUUGAGUUUGGGAAUGUUUUAUUACUUAAGUGUAUCUUAUGUCAGUGAUAUCUUAAGUCUAUCUUAUGUCUGUGAUAUUAUAUUAUUCCAUUCUGAAAGCCGUUGCGCAAGUUCUCGAGUUACUAGAAUCAGGUGUUACUAGUUUAUAUGAUCAGUGUGCACUCAUCAAUGAUAUUUCAACGAGCUCGCUAAGGGAACUACACCUCUGAUUCAGCUACACCUCUUCUCUUCUCUUCUCUUCUUUACCGCCUCUAAUGUUUGCAGAAUGUCUUUCAUCUUUCGAUUCGGCUUCUAUAUCGGAUUCCAAUAAUUCUGAACUGAUGUGAUAUACCCGAGGAAAGUCAACAACUCGCAUUGCGACAUGAAAUUGAGACUCAGUUAGCGCACGACCUCUCUUUGAAGAACUGCUUGUGGCAGACUGAACUCUUACUGCGGAUUCUUGAUACAAAGGCUUUCGCCCCUCAUUCUAUUCCAUAUUCUCUUACUGCCCCACAAGUAGGACUUUCCUUCACUCGCUUGACGAUGAAACUAGAACAGUCAAUUGCGCCUGAAAUCCCCUGCCUUAAAAGAUGCAAAAGCACUUGCUUGUUCCUAAGCUUGUUUAGUAGUGACUUGGCGGGUUGGUCUUAAAGUCAACAAGAGGCAAAAGGUAUGCUGUGUAUUUACAUACAUCUAUGCCAGGUGAUCCAUUUCUAGUUGAUAGUUACCCCAGUAGUAGGAAAUGUAGUUGCUCGCCUCUAAGCUACCUGCCGCUCUAACACCCCCUUAUAUACAAGUUCACUGUUGUACUGCCGCUACACAUUAGUAUACGCUUGUCGGGGCUUACUUUACUAUAUCUAAGGCUUUUACUGCCGGGGCUUACUUUACUAUAUCUAAGGCUUUUACUGCCGGGUUUAGCUCUUCUACUAAUGAGUCAAACUCUGUCCCCUCGCCCUCUGCCUGGCCUGGUUCACUCUAAUACCGAUGAGCUAAAUCAUAUCCCCGGCACGCCGACUACUAUGUUGAUUUACUUAUAUUUCUCAUAUGUUUUAUCGUAUUCUAUUUGAUAUUAGUUUCUUAGGCUCCACUAGGUUCUUUUUCGAGUAGUUUCUUCUAGUUUAUUGGUUCCAAAACUAUAUGACUUUUGAUCUUUUCUAUUUCUAUGUUAGUUCCGGUGUGAAGUCAAUGCUUUCCCCGAGCAAAGAGAUAGGUUUGGUCAAGUGGCUAGUAAGCUAAAGAAUGAGAAGGCAUAGCUAAAGACUUUAUGCUGGGGCACUCUUAUUGUAAUCCAGGAUGAGCUAGUGAGGGAACCCGGUGGAGUUUCACUCGUUGGCGUAGGAAUGACCUUGGAAGUUGGAAUGAAAGGACCGAGUCACAGAAUUGACACUAUGUUUCAAAGGGCAGGUGCGUAGAUCAGCUCUAAGGGCCAAGCAACGACUUAUAAAUGUUCUCCUAAUGGGCCAAGCUACUACGAACAAGUACUACCGGUCUGACUUGCUAGCGCAUAUAGUAUAGGAGUCAAGAGUUAAGGAAAGCUCUGCUCGAAAGUAAGCAGCAAGAUGUUUUUCCAGAAAUAUGACAAGUGGGAGUUUGACUCGGUGCAAGCAAGUUCCAUCCUUGGCUUUACUGGUUAACUCUCCAAAUCUUAGUUAACAGUCUUGUCUUAACCGAACAGCCAACACCGAUAAGUACUCUCCGGCGUGAAAGCGGAAUCCGGAGAAGAUCUGGAUCAGAUGAAUCCGCAAGUCCUGUCGUCAUUGAACUUAAUAAGUGAGUUGGUAACCACAGAGCAGGGUAGCUUGUUUCCCGACGCCCCAGUUCCGUUGUCAACGAGAGAAGAAUGCCGAGAUGCGAGAGAAUAUACAGUGCUUGUCAAGUCUAAGUUCGGUGCUUGGCUUGCUUUAUGUUAAGGGUAGAAAAGAGAGUUGGGACUCGACUGAAGAAUGAAUGAAAUCGUAGUCCUAUUUCUGCUGCGCUAAGUCCUGAUUGUCCUGCUUGCUGUAGCUCCUCUUUAGUCGGAUAGUCCCACUGUAGCUCCUUCCCUUGUUGUAGAGAGAGAGGUUUUUGUCCUUCCCGAGCCAAGUAGUGAGUCGGCCUAUUCUUCUUGUCCUGCUGGAGCUCAAGCAAAGUACUCUCGUGAAAUACCUGUUCCAAUUCUAGGAUCUGGUAAGGAAGCAGAAUCAAGAAAGUAGACAUCAACGAGAUCAUAUCAUAAUAUAGACUAUUGGCACCACUAUCCCAAACGAUCUAUCUAAUCUUAACUGCUUACAGAAACUAGAAACUUGAAGAAGAAGAUAAUAUCACGUUCCACAUACAUAUGGAAUGAAGUAAAAACACCUCAAUGCUAUCCUUUUGCUUCCAUACUAUAUUACAAGACUGCUAUCCUUUUCUCUUUUUCACUCUAUAAUGUUCUAAUAUUUCUCAGAUACGGAUCCUGUUUCAUAUAAUACUCCUGAUUCUUUACCUAUUUCUAUACUAGACUCCCUUUCCUUUCCCUUUGAUUUUGGCUACUUGACCUCUCCUUGAAGUUCAGAAUUCAUUGAAUCUUUCCGAGUCGUUUAACCUAUGCCCAUGUUUAAGGACUGGGGGCGUAAGAAGGUCGGGCAAUUCUCUAAGUCAGGCAAUCGAUUUCUUUUCAUAUGAUUAAAGUAGAACAGAAAGCCAAUGGAACAGCUCAAUCCUCUGUCUAAUUACCAAGUUGUUCUAUACUUGACUAAACUAGCUUCUUUCGAACAGCUUCUUCAGUAGGGAAAGCUAUGACCACCUUGAUUACCUGCUGACUUUCGAAUGGAAUCUUUGACUUGCGCUAACGGAGUGUAGUCGGCCAACACUGAUUCAUUAUCAGGUCGACAAACUGAUGAAACUAUACCACAAGGAGCAGAUCUCGCAUCUGAUCUUACAACAUAAAGAAACUAGUCUACAACACUUGUGGAAUGUCAUUGCCUCUCAAGAACUGGAAUGGUAGCUUCAGAUCCUUUACUCUCUUCUGCUAACUCGAAAUCAGGUGUUGUAAUAAGUUCAUCUUAUGAAUGGAGUGUACCUAGUAUAGACCCAUGGAGCGGUAACAACACAUCUGACUUUAGGGAAAACUUAUAGACCUACGGUAGGAUACGGAGUUGAGAGAAUUCGCUGUAGAAAGUAAGUAAGGCACGGCACUCGAAAGAUUCAAUCCAAUCCUUUGCUCGAACUCAAUUUCUCCUCUUAAUACAACAGAUUCAGUUGUUCCUACUCCUUCUAUUGUUCUAGCCUCUGAUCAAGUAUCUUCUCCAUUCUCUUGUUCGCACAGAGAAUCUAGUUUAUUUACCUACUCCGGGGACAGUCUCUCCAUCUUCUCUAAGCCAAGACCGGAACUCAUAUUUGUGGUUUUCCAUUCUUCAAUUCCAGGUAUCAAACGGAAUUCUUAAAGGCAGAAGGAGCACACGGUUGGUUUAGAGCCCAAGAACACACGGUUGGUUAAGAGCCCGUGGUGGAUUACCUCAUUAUAUAAAACAUGGCUAAGUCCUAUCAUUCUGAAAUUGCGUACUGCGCUAAGUAAACUAGAUUCUGCAAUUCAAACGGAAAGAACACUUGGUUAGUUACCCGGUUCUAUGAGAUCCCUCUGGCUAAUUAUUCCCGGACUGGGUGUUGAGUAAGUACAUUCGAAAUCGUACCCUAGCGCUUCAAAGCCAGAGUACUAUCCUUGCCUUGCACCCUCACUCAUUCACUCCCCGCUUCUGACCAAUACCCAGCUUAGAAUUCUUUACCAACUUAAUAUCCCGGUCUCGCUCUUGGAACUGUGCAUCCUCACCGGAUUCUGUUGUCGGUGUACACUUCCCUGCUCCUUUACCUGCCUCCAAUCCUUCCUACCCUUACCUUCAUUCUGAAACUAGACCUUCCCAUAUAAGAGAAAGGUUCCGGGUUAAAUCACUUAUAUAAGAGAAGGUUCCGGGUUCAAUCACGUAUAUAAGAGGUUCAAUCACUUAUAUGUUUGGUUUCCAUUCAAUUAGUUCUCUGUCAUCUCUUGGUUGAUCCCUUGCAAAUAAGACGGAAUUUCAUCUAGUGUGUUUCUACGUUCCAACUGUUUCUUUUCCUGACUUAGAGUAAAUCCAACCCUAUACUCUCGCAUUCAAAACAAUAACUACGCUGACAACAAGGAAUUAGGAAACGGAAAUCAAGAUAGUAAAGUAGGAUUUUCAGAAUGGAAUUGAGGAGCAAUAACAAGAUCCGGAGUUGUAGUUAAGUAUCCAAGAUAACAUACAAGAAUAAGUGUAUUUCCAGAAUUCUAUACUAUAUCCCUUUGGCUCAAUAAGAGAGAUAUUAAUGGAAAUGAAACAAUCAACGGAACCAGCAAGCUCAAGCGCAUCUGUACUGAAGCUUAAUACUUGUUCUGGGCACGGCAAAGCGGGACAAUCCGAAAGUGUUGGCGACUCGAAUCCCAGUUCUGUAAAUGGAAUUGAGGCAUCCAUCCCUACUAGGUUGAUAAGUUAAGCACCGAACCUUUACUUCGCAACGUUACGUUUCUAUACAACACACACUGCAUCCCUUUCUUUUGUCGACUUCUCCUGCAUAAGUAGUAUCAAUCCCUUUCUUUUGUCGACUUCUCCUUCAUAAGUAGUUUCAACAGAAUAAAAAGAAACUAGAUAAGGAUAAAAGGCUUUAGCAUAAGAAGAAGCUUUAUCCGGAUAAAGAGGCUUGAGCAAGUAGUUAUUCCGUUUCUGCGCUCGAUGAUACAUUCCAUUCAUUCUUUUUGUUGCGGGAAGGAACUAAAGGUGGAGUUCGGGAAGGGAGUUGAUAGUUUACAGAAAAGCUAAUAAACAAGUAGUAGAUCCAAAGAAAGCAAGAGAUGAGUCAAGUAAGUCGUCAGCAAAAGAUCUGGAUCAUAAGCCAUUACUAGUUUUCCUGGCGCUAGUUCAAGUCCAGUUUUCUCCUUGGUUCACGAAAAAAAGAGAAGUGGACCUGAGCCCGCGAUAGCAAGAGGAACCAUAGACUAAAGAGAAUAGAAAUGAGUCAAUGAAGACUUUCUUUAGGACUGAAGCCGAUCCUUUAGUAGAUGCCACAGUCACGUCAACUCAAGUAAGCGUUAGCGCCUGCAUACUCACUUCACUUCACUUUACUUUUCUCUUGCUUGCCACAAUCCUUUCCAUUAUAAAGGAAGACCAACCAAGACUGACUUGGGAAGACUAACCAAGACUGACUUGCAGGGACUAAUUCCUCGCUUGCAACUACUUUAAUAGAGACUAUAUCUAUGACACCUUAUUCAUUAUAUACUAUAUCUAUGUUAUUCAUUAAUUACUUUAUCUAUGACUCUAUGACACCUUAUUCAUUAAUAGAGACUAUAUCUAUGACACCAGAAGGGCAGGGAACAUACCAUACCAAUAACAUACUAUACUCUACGGUCGGCAAUAACAUACUAUACUCUACGGUCGGCUAGGAAUGAGGAAGCCGUCAAAGCCCCUCGACACCCAUAUAGGGAGAAUUGAGCAUCAAGAAAAGCACGAGAUUGAUGAUCCAAAAGAAACUAACAACACUUUGGAUUUCAAGAAGGAGCAGCUAGUAGUCCUUCCUUAUCAUUCUUCAUAACUUAGACUCUCAUAUAUGACCGAUGAAGGGCUGAAAAGGAUGUUUCAAUCGAAGCUUCUUGGGUAGGAUCUUUGCGCCAGAUAGUGGGGAGUUUCCUUCUCUCUGUCCCUAUACCCGAAUCGUACCUAUUCCAUUGGUUACCCGAAUCGUACCUAUUCCAUUGGUCAAGGGCUAGCUCCCCUUUCUCUUCCCCAAUUUAGCAGAAUGAGUAGGAGCUGUGCUUUUACGCGAUAAAGAAAGACGAACACUUGUGGCUUUUACCCUUGGCCCAACAAACUAAUGCAGUAAAUGAGCCGAUCAAUGAUUGCGCGAGGGAAGAUAGGGGUUGGGGAAAGACAAGAGAACUAAUUGAUGAAACCUACUCUCCAGGACAACUUCUUGCGGCGCUUUUCUACUUAUAUCAUAAUAGACGGGUUUAACCAUACAUACGAGCACUGGCUGGGAAUGCCACUACUGGGAUUUAUACGAAGGCAGGUGGGAAUGGGCCUGUAGAUCCAAAAAGAAAGAUGUAAACCCUAUUUAUUGCAAAGAUAGUAAGAUAACACUGCUGACAUAUUAAAUAAAGUAACAAAACAGCUUCAAGUUUUCUGACAUAUCACUUUCAUCACUCAUAUCGGUCUCUGUUGUUUGAGGGAAGAAUGGUCUUACUCAAAGGUUCUGCCUGCUCAGUUUGCUGUCUUUACUAAUAGCUCCGAUAGAAUCUCUUUUUGCGGUGAUUAGACUAGAUCAGUAAGAAAAUGGUAUCCAAACCUGUAAAUGGCUAUCUUAUUCUUCAUGGCACCCUUGUGUAUUGACAUGAGGAGUGCCUUUUCUCGAGAUUGUUGGCAUCCAAUUGUAAUCACAUCUCAUGGUGAAAGAGAAGGGAACGAGACUCAGGGCGGUCACCCACCUGUAAGAUAUAAGAAAAUGCUAUUCCAACCCACCAGGAGGAGAGAGAUUAGCUAGUUGCAAGAGGAGAUGCGAGAGAAUAUACAGUGCUUGUCAAGUCUAAGUUCGGUGCUUGGCUUGCUUUAUGUUAAGGGUAGUUUAGUUCGGCUCUUCAAGGGGAGUAUCUUAGUUUGCUGGUUUUCCCUUGCCUUAAGCUUGUUCCGUUGUUUGUUGCCUUCACAGAGCAGAGACCUUAAGACGAGACUAAAGGCUUUUGGCUUAACCGAGUUAUGGUAGGUAACACCUUUGCAUGCUUGGUUUGACCGAGUCGUGAGUUGGUUCAAGGAUCAAGUUGGCAAUUCCGUUUGUUUUGUCUUGCUUGUGUCCAAGUGUCAUAAAGUGGAGUUCCAGCAUUGGCUUGACCGAGUAAAGAAAGAGUCAACAGUGAGAUUACCGCGUACGCUACGUGGAGUAAUAGAUGGAAUAAGUGAGUUUUAGUUCUUAUAUAUGUGAUCUAUGUGAGUGAAAUGCUUUUAAACAAGUUAAGGUCCAAUAAUAGUAUAGGACUUUCAAGCAAGGGUAGCAAGUCAAGUGUGUUUUCGUAUCGGCAUUAUAAGGAGUGCAAGUCAAGUGUGUUUGGGGGAUCUGAAUCCGUAUUUGUUGAAGAGAAUGAAGAAGCUGUUCCGCCUUCCAGUUUUGUGUUUGAGUUGAAAGCUUACGCGAGUUCUGCGCACCCAUAAUCUAUAUAGUAUGAUUUCGUUCCGGCUAUCCGAACUACCUUAACAGAGACAAUAGCUUGUUCCCCUUAUACUCCCAACGCAGUUAGUGCUGAUAUAUGAGUGGAACUCACACCCCGUCCACGCCCGAACCUUACCUUAAUGAGAGAAUAAGUGGCCUUAGUGAUGCUUGUGCGAAUCUAAUUGUAUAUGGAAGCCGAGAAUCAACAGUCGAAAGGUGUUACACGGAGCGGUUAAGGUCAUAAUCAAUUCCUUCUGAUGAAGCUAAUGCAGAGAAAGGAACGAAUAGGCUCUGUUGCCCACCGAAAGUAGAGUUCACCUUCCAAAUCAAAGAAGUAAUAAUAUGACUAACAAAAGUCAAAGGUCAAAUCACGUAUUGGUGCUUGGUAUGCGAGUUAAGUAUUGGUGCUUUCACUGGACCACAUAAAGGUUAGUCGAAAGUAAGGGUAUAAAGCUUUAAAGGUUGAGUAUGGAGGAGAGUUUAUAUAGAAUGUCUUUGGGAAUACCUCAAUCAUUAUUCUUUUCUUCAAGUAUGGAGGGUUCGAGGAAAGGAAACUUCAGCUCGACAAAAAGAGAGGAAAGGAAAGUUGUAAAGAUCAGUUUCAAGAUCUUCUGCUGUAUAGAUUCGGCUUGCUUCGUAAACAAGGGGAGUGAAAGUUAUAGUUUCAGAAGCAGCAUCUGAGGCAGGAUAAUCCGCUGUAGAAAGUAAGUCAUCAAACGAUUCUUCAAGUAUAGUUUUGUAUCAGCAGCAAGCGGUAGACCAGACCAGGCAAUUCCAUCAGUGUCUUGUUAACCUUUUGAAUGCCCACGUAGCUUGGCGCAAGGUUUAGUAUCAAGUAAGCUGCAUAGACUGGAUAUGAGGCUGGCUAAAGUGAGUUACAAAGAAAGUAUAGUUAAGGUAAAAAGCUGGAUCAGGUGUUUAAGCGGGAAGGAAGUUCGUUUUCUUUUCAAUUCCUCUCUUAUAUGACAUGGAGUCGAAUCCCAAUCUUCAACUUUACCCUUUUCACUCAGACAGGAGUACCGAUACUGACUUCAAGUAUUCCUAUCUAAACUAAAGAAUAUAAGUUUACUGGUAGACGGGAAAGACAGAGAUGGGUUUACAGCCCAGCCCGCUAACUAAGUUAAGUACUCUCCAUCAGGUGUUCAAACCGUUGCUAAGUAUUAGCUUGUCCCGAUUCUUGCUCUAGUACUGUUGCUUGCCCAGCGGCUAAAGGAUCCGAAUCCGUGGUGAAAUAAUGAAAAAGUGCUAGUGGUAGGUCGGAACCAAGCAAAGACAGGCUAAAGAGAUGGUAAAGCAAGGUCCUUUUCCGCAGUGAAAGUAUUAGCCGGCAGUAGUCAAUUCAUAGUUUUGAGCUACAGCCCCGUUAGCAGCAGUUCGGGUGCGAGAAGCACCGGUGCUAUUCCUGUCCGCGCCAGUGCAAUUAUGAUUAGCUUUAGGUCUAGUCUUUCUUUUUCUGUCCAGGUGUUAGAGUUAUGUCCGGGAUCCCUACCUUAUAGCUCGAUCCCUUAUUUCUACUUUGAUUAUGUUACUAAUGAGUUGGAUUCCUACUUAUGAGGUUGUCUCUGACUUUCCCACUCCUGAGUGCAAUUCUAACUAGUCUCAUUCCGACUUCCCUUGCCUCUGAGUUGCUUCCUGAGUCUACUUAGUUUCAUUCUGAUCUCUAACUUGGGAACUAUGGGGAGUUAACUCUACGACUAAAGGCUCGGCUCCAGGUGGUAUUGGUUUAAGUCUUGAUAGUAGUAGUUCUAUUCUGUUACUGACUAGUUCAAUUCUGACCUUUCCUACUAGCUCAACCGAGGUUCAUUCUUGGUGCAAAAGGGUUUGAAGUCUGAAGUAGUACCCUAAUAGGCAGGGACGGUGGAGCAAGUCAAGGGAAUCGGUAGGCUUGGUAUUAGUCUUGAAGUUAGUGCUUUCAUUCAGGCUUAGUAGCUGUUGUUGAAGCCUUUGCCCUAGUGGGUUGGUUCUUAGUAGCUGCUGUCUCAGCAAUUAUAAUAAGGUUGGUGUGAGUUGAAGGCUCGCUCUCUCUUGUUUGAGUCUAUCCCUCCUUAGCUGCAGGCUUGGAAGCGGUGUUUGAAGUCUUGCUGGCACUAGUGGAAGGCUUGCACCGGUCAGCUUCAUUCUCUAACUCCUUAGCUACAGCCUGUAACUCCCUGGGUUAAGUCUUGAUAGCAGUGGUGGAAUUCUUAGACACCCGAGUAGAAUCCUAAAUGUAAUCCUUAAUAAGAAGAGAUAGAAUUUAGUAGUUAAUUAGUAGAGAUCAGAGCCACACAAUUAUAUCUUUUGAUCAUUGCUUAACACAAGCACUAGACCUAGCGCACAUCUCCCUGAAUUCUGACUUUCCCUUAAGGGCAUGCUAUAUAAAUACGGGUGGAAUUGACACCCCGACCCGUAAUCCUUAGUUUGAGCACCCUAGCACUAAAGUGAUCUUUCCACUCUACCACACAGAUAAGUACUGCCGCUAGUGCCACUUAACUAUUUGCUCCUCUCUUGCUUCUUUUGUAACACCAGAUAGAUGGUUGCUUGGCCCGGACUCAUGUAUUGGUAUUAUAACACCUUAAGAUGUGAGUCAGUUGUUCUUUAGUUCCCGGUGCCCAAGUAGAAGAAUGAGGCUGUUGAAAGAUCCCCUCUUACUAACGCUAUACAUUAGUGGUCGACCAGAGAAGAAAGAGCAUCCGCAGUUUCAAGGUAUAGUUAUAGUGUUGGCGACUCGGAACCCUAAUGCUUUUUGCACCCUAUUCUUAAUUGAGCCUCUUUUCCAGUGUGACUUCCACCGCUCAACCUCUGCUUCCUGCUAAAGACUAAAGGAAUAUCAGCUUCACUCGGUUCUUAAAGUCUUGUUUGUUGAGAUUGAGGUUCUUCUUCACCGACACAAUCACUUCUCUACUUUAUACUUCUGGAAUAAGAUUUCAAAACAUAGGGAAUGUCCUCAGAAUUAAUUGAAUCUUUUGAUCCGCGAGGCAAGACUGAAUUUGGAACUCCUUUAGCCGACGCCGAGUCAACAACUUCUGUUAGCGCCUCAAAGCCUGUAGCUUAAGAUUCUUAUAGCAUUGGUUACUGGGUUGGUAAAGAGCACAGGGUUCCUAACGCGCCCCACCCCAAGAGGAAGGAUAGGUCGGGGUUGUCAGUUCAUCAAAUCCAGUUCUGGUAUAGAUUGCUGAGUUGCGGUAAACCAUUGAUUUGAAGCUGUUCUCAAGUCAGCUGCUGUGAGAUGUGAGAGUUGCAGACCGGAGAAGGAUAUUCAUAAGAAACAGGAACCAGAGGCAGAAGCUAAGAAUACAGAAAAAGCCAAGCGUAUACUAGUGGAAUUAGUUUCAUCCCCAUAUUCCCUUGUUUCAUCCCUUGUGUCAGUUGCCAGAGGAACAGAAAUGGGUAAGCUUAUGAAUUGCCAGUUUACAGUUUCAUCUUAUUAUAAAGAAAAGUCUCAAGCAGUAGCGGAAUGAAGUAUCUGAGGCUGUAUCCAAAUCCUUAUUUGUAUCAGAAUACGAAGCGGAAUCGGCUGUGGAAGUAGUUCUGGCAUUGUCUUAGUUCUGGCAUUGUCUUAUUAUAGGUUCAAUAUUUCCUUUCCCCGGUGAACUCACAUAUGUAAGCCAGUGAAAACAGGACAGUACUUGAGCCAAGGAUCGGAUACAGAUGAACUUAGCGCUUCAACUUCCUACAAGUCCUUUGUUUAGCAAGCGGGUAUCUCGGGUUCAAGUAAGCUGUUAGAGCGGAUACAGCAGUAGAUGAUUCAAAAUACCAGAAGAGAGGCAAGUCACUGUAGUAGUAGCAGUUAGAGCAGUUGCAAUAAAGAAAGGUGUAUUGUUGGGUUCUUGUUUUCCUGCGUAACACGGGUGGAUAUCCCUCUUCUUUUCUCCUACUCUAGAUACGGAUACAGCAACUGAUCCUUCAACUGAAACUACCUAUUCUCUCGUCGAUUCAUUUAUAUAGCAAUAGCACAGGUGGGAUACCGCAAGGACAGAAAGAUACUCGUCUCCAACAACAAGAACAAGAGCUGGACUCCUACUACUGGGCAGCUACUACCCGGCUUGGCACUGCUUCCAUUGGACUCCUACUACUGGGCUGCUACUACCAGGUCGAUCAUAGGAUUAUGUUUAGAUCCAUAGCACUUAAUAUAGGAUUAUGUUUAUAAAGACACUCGCAACGAAUACACUCGGUAUUCCACAAUAACAGAAACAUCAUUUCUAACAGAAACAUCAUUUACUGAUCUAGCAUCUAAUCUUUAUUCGACUCCUGCAGAAAUACAAUCAACAGGCAAUUGAAUUGGGCCAGCGGGAUUACACUUGAACUCGAGUAGCAUGUCGUCCGCCCUUACCUUACCUGUAAACCUGGACUACCACUAGUUGGGGCUGGAAACCCGGACUUCUCCUCUUGCUCCUAGUAGUAGCUUUCCGGCUUGGCUCUUACUUGAAACUAACACUCCUGGCUCGGCUCCUGUACAUAAGGUAGGAAUUCUCCGAUCAUAAGAUCUAGUACAGAAGAAUAAGGGAUCUACUAAUAAGAUACUAAAACUAAGGGACCUGUCUGAAACUAACACUCUCAACGGGGGAUCUAACUGCCUAACUAUACGGCUGCGACUACUGAUUCUAAGACAACAACCAGUGCUGGAAAGAAUGACUCUAUUGAAGCAUACUUCCAUUGGAAACUCGGAACCAACUACUAGCUAGUAGGAUCGAACUGUUGCUUCUCGGGCUGCCCUUACUCGCUUCAACUCUAGCUAUCCAUUCUUUGACUUACUUAUUCCAUUAUGUACUCCUACAUAGAGAUACUGGGCUCCUUUACGGAGUAGAGUUCUUGCUUGUGAGUUUUUGUAUCGUACUCCCGGGGUUCAAACAACAUCCCUGCCUCUUAUCCUACUAUUGAAGGACUCGAUGCAGUCUUUUACUUACUUCUCCGAUUCUCCAAAUGCUGGCUAUUAACCUGAUAGGUUCCCCAAUAAGCUUCUAUUCUUUAGCUUCAAUAUCAACAUCAACCUGGCUCUAACUCCUCCGCUACUUAUUCUCAAACUCACUACCUUGCGCUUCAGUCUAUAACCCAGUACUAGUGCUUCUAUAUAGCUACUUCAGACUGAAACAAGUGGUAUCAAGACCAACAACCCUAGUCACUUCCUUCAUAACUACUAACUGCCUUCCUCGCCUAGUAACAGACUUCAUAACUAGUAGUGGGCUUCGGGGAGUCGAUAGGCUUCCUAACAACUAACUGACCUAGCCCAGUAACUGAAUGAAACAACAAUCCCUAGUAUAGGAAUGCAACCAGCCUCCCCUAGCCUUCAUUUCCUUCUUCUCAACCUAUACCUAUUGUUUCAUCCUAUUAUAAAGAAAGAAUAUCAUAGUAUACAUAGGCAAAGAGUGACUUAUACUUAGAGGAGUUGUGUUAAGACUUCAUAGCUCAAUACUCUUAUUAUGUUUUAUACCUGAAUUCGGCUCCUCGCCAGUACUUUACUCUGCCCCGACCUAUCUCCGACAAAGAAAGUACUUAUUCUAUUGAUUUACUAAAUGCUAUACUACUCGUGAUAAGAGAUAUAUUCCAAUUCUGAACUGAAAGUCUAUACGAUUGAAGGCAGAAUCAAAUCGAAAAGAAGCUGCCCGCUCACUAUAGCCCUCCGCUCCAACUCCCAGGUAGCCUAAUUCAGUAUCAACGUCAGUAUCAUCUCAUUCUUUACUAACAGGAGCUCGAACCACAAGUGAAAUUCCCUUAGUUUCAAUUCCACAAGCAGGAGAAGUCCAGUCGACAAAAGAUGGAGCUGGAUCAAGAUCAAGUUAGUCAGCAGUGUUAGAGCCUGUUGAGUUAGGAGUGAGCGGUUCCUCGAACACUAGUGGCCCUGCCGCCCUUAAUGCAGGACUCCCGAAGAAAGGUUAACUCUGGAUGCGGUUAUAUCGUAUUUCUUAUUCAUUCCCUAUUCAUUCUAGUUAAUAAUGUCUUUCUUACUUGCUUUGAUAUGAGGUGUACAAAACCCUCUGUUCGCCUAGUGCUUGUUGGGAAAGUUGACUGCCGCGUAACUAGAACUCGCUGACGCACUUGUUCUUGCGGAACUCCCGUUAGCACAAGUAAAAGAUGCAAAUGCUAUAAGGUAUAUCAAAAGUCAUAUUACUUCUCUAAUGGACUAUAGACCUAUAUUAUCUAAUAUACAAUAGGCGUAGCGCAAGUCCAGAAUCAACAGUUGCUUGUUUGGUGCUAGUUUCUUUAAUCCUAUCAUCCUAUAAGAGGUAUGGGGGUGAAGCAGGGAGAGGUGCGAUAUCUCGGUGUUGCAGUAAGUUCAUAGUCUUCUAGUCCCGCUCUAGCAAGCAAAGUGAGUUCUUGUUGUACGGUUGACUUUCUUGUCGGUUCAGUUCUGCAAGUGGAGUUUGCUUUAGGAAAGUUCGUUUGUGUGCGAGUCGAGUAUCACGGUGUUGUAUCAAGCAAGUGUCUACUAGUAGCUCUCAUAUCGCCCAAAGUGUCUUCACCUAUAAACCCAACAAGUAACCACUAGACAAGUCACUUGUUACGCGUCAUCGAGUUACCUGUUACGCGUUAUAAAAGUUUCAUCAUAUGUAAGAAGAAGAUCUCGGAUCAACUGCAGAAGUCAAGUAUAAAGAAUCAUAAAUAGAAAGUUCGUCAGCAGCAAGCGCUAAGUCAAGAAGAAGCAAGUAACUGUAAUCAAACAAAGAGAGGCGAUAAAGAAGGAGGUAAUCAAACAUAUAGGUAGCUGAACCAGCAACAGAACUGGAUCAAGCAACAAGACUCAGUGCUAAUGUUCCAUUUCCAUUCAUGUUUUCCUCUGCGCUCGAUGUCAAGUCAGUGCCGAUUUCGGGUGCACCAUCUUACAACUAUUUCUUAUUAGAGUAACAAAGGGAAAGCCUAUAUACAGAACAGGAACACGGAUCGGAUUCCACUCAUACAUAAGUCAGAAUGGGAUCUCUCUUGCACACUGAUAGAGGGAUGUCAUAACCAAACUGUUUCUUCCGUUGUUUGUAGAAUGGAAGAAAAGAAUGGAACUGACACGUAAAAGGGAAUAGGAUAGGGUAUGGUCUCGUAUAGAAAGCUUGUAAUAAGGGAAUCCGAGUUAUAGGCCUUUCUUGGGACUUACCCGCUUCGCUUCCUUUAGCCUCUAAUUCGAUAUAAGAUUGAAGUUAAGGUGAAACACCAACCUCUAUAGGAUUCAAGUUGCAAAGAGCUGAACCCCUAUUAGACGUAAAGCCAACAAACACGGAUUCAACAAUCACAGUCAAUUCAUAAGCUCACUUUUGAACGGCUUCAUAUCUUUCUUCCUCACUAAGCAUCUAAUCUUGUUUGCCAACACAGAUUCCACUCGGGAUGCUAAGGGCUAACAUGUGGUAGAGUCAAGUCACUAGAGUCAAGUCACAAGUAUUUCUAUACAAUAUGCUACUAAAAAGCGACUCGCGAUGAAACAGAUGAAACACCCCAACCGCCUCCGGACUCUUUUCUUUAACCUAACUAGAAUAAGGUACUCUGGCUUUGAAGCGCUAAGUGGUCAAUGUUUCUUUGGGUGCUUCUUAAACUGGAGCGAGAAAGUAAGGUGUUUAGGUCAGAUCAUCGCUGGUCACAUAGUCGCCCGAGGUAUUAUAUCAGAUAGUUGCCAUAGUCGCCACCAAGUAUAAGAAAUAACAUCUGAAUUCUCUCUUCUCUGACAUGCCUAGCUCCCUCUUUUUUGUCGGUAGGGAGAAUCAGUGCCCUUACUGGGUUAGUUACAGGGUUCAAUGAAUUGUAGCCCGAGUGAAAAUAGCCAUAGGUAGAUUAGAGUCCAGGUCCAGGCACAGGCCCAACAACAACAAGAUCUGAAGCCGGGGAAGACCUUUAGCUAUCGGGCGUAAGGCAGCUAGGCACUACUAAUCUCUGGAAACACAGAUCUUUCAGCAGCAAGUGGUGAUGUUUUCGUAAUAACUCUUAUUGGCUGCCGUUUUUCAGCUCGCUGACGCUCUUUUAACUCGCUACCGUUUAGCUCAGGCUCCUACCGCACAACGUCCGAGCACAGAUACUGUAAUAACUUCGUUAUGACUUCUGACUAUUGCUGACGCACAACAUUAGCAGUUGUUUGUCCCGUUGCUUGGUCAUUAGUAGUUGCUUGGUCGAACACAUAACUAGUAAUAACUGGGGAACUCUAGCGGCCCUGCCGCGCAACAUUAGUAGUUGCUUGGCCCUAUUGUUGUUACUGCCGCACAACGGCGUAGCCGUUGCUUGGCGUCUAGUCUAAGCUUGGCCCCCAACAAGCAAUGGGAGAGAGGCGAGAAAAGAAGCAAGCUACGUUCGAGUUAAGUCCAUUAGAUCAUCAGUAGUUUCAAGAUCAUAAGCAGUGGGGUAUUUCGGAAACAACUAUCAAUCUGGUCUUCAAGCCUUCAACUAGAAAUCCGCUUUCUCUUGCCUUUACUCGGACAAGGGGUCGGGGUUUCUAUUGCCUAUAAAACAGUGUAGCUCCCCCGCUCCCUUAUGAUGACUUUAGAAUCGACAGAAGCACAAGAUCGGAAGAAACGGAAUCAGGGUAUUGAGCUAGGCAUGCUAGAUCUACUAGGUAACUUCCCUCCCCUUUUGCCGACCUAACGGCUUCUUCUCUUGAUUCUACUCCUGCAGAAAUACAAUUAACAGGCGCAGGACUUACUCAUAACCGCCGGACUUAACCGGAGUUUGCUUGAGAAUUAUGGCUUGAGGUAUGGGAUAAGAGGAGAGAGAGGCUUUGUUGCGAGGUGUGGUCCACAGAAUAGAGUUUUCUACUUAAAGAAUCGAUUGUAGCUGACUUUAUCACUCUCACUGGAACACCGGAUUUAGAGUGGAAUACCGAGUUUCGUCUUCAAGUCCUGUGUUCGCCUUCCUCAUCAGUACAAGAAUCCAUACUUUAUUAAACGCACACAGGUAAGGGGCGGGCCUUAGCUCGCUUGCUUAUUGACUUUCGAGCAGAGGAAUAAGAAUAAGGGAAUAUAGAAUCCGACUACUGCUUUUCCUCCUUUAACUUAGAACUUUGACUUCACUACUGGUAGCUAACUCUUGCUUGACUUUCUUUUGAAACUUAUACUGAUGCUAAUAAUAAUUGAGCUACUACUGGCAAGGACCGAACAGGUGCUAUGAUAGAACCCAACUGCUGGUAACAAGAAUUGAUUACUACCUACUAAGACUUUCAUCACUGUUAGCAAGGCUUUCACAACAAAUAGGGAAGUUACACUCACCCUGACUUUCCGUUUAUAGCUGCUGAACCGGCUCUCAACACCGUAUCCAUGCUUUGAUUCUAACUAUCCUGAUUGACUCUUGCUUUGAGUCUACAUAUCCCCUGCACCUAAUUCUCUGACUUGCUAGGGGGCUGAUCUGCAACUUCGCCUACACCCUAUUAGUAAGUCCGCCUUUCCUGUAACUCAGACUUCCCUUACUGUAUACUUACCUUACUGUAUAUAAGGCUUACUAUCCAACCGAACGAACUAAGUCUCACUUUCCUAGCUAACAAACUCAAACUACCGAUCUGGUUUCUUCUGUUAUACUAGUACAGUCCACCCUACCUCUGACUUUACUGAGACCUAUGAGCCUUCCACCUGGUCUUUCAAUCCAUAUCUCCUUGAUCUCCGCCUGCCCACUCCUUGUACGGGUAAUAAGAAUCAGAAUAGUACUUAAUAGGAAGGUAAUAAGAAUAUAGGAAGGUAAUAAGAAUCAGAAUAGUACUCAAUUGGAAGGUAAUAAGAAUCAGAAUAGUACCUAAUAGGUGAGUAUCCGAAUAGCAAUAAGAGUAUAGGAAGUUCACUACAGGUAACAAGGGUCGAUGUAAUUGAGCUACUGAUAAUGCCCGUAAGUAGAAAACUGCUGAUCUAGCAUCCGGUAACCAAUCAGAAUUACCUCCAGGAGUGCAAGAACCAAACCAGUGCUAACAAGAAUGUAACUCACUAGUCCAAGCCUGAAAGCACUAAAGAUAGGGCUCGCGGGUAUAGCACUAAGAAUUGCACUCAGCUAACUCAGGCUCAUCUAAUCUACUUAUUGCUCCUAUCGACUACUACUUUGCCUCACUCCUACAGUUGCUACUAUCUCCUCGCUUCCUCGCCUGUAGACUCCACUCUCACUGCAGACUGCUUUCCUGGCACAUAGUUUUGACUAACAAUUCUAUUUUGGGUAGGAUAGCUCUAUAGUAGUUGGCAUUAACUUGUCCGGUGAAGGGUAAGCAAAAGGGGGGUUGGUUUCUAGCGCGGUGUGUACUUUCAUUGUCUACAAGUUCUGUUAUAGGCUUGACGUCUAUGAAGGAUGGGUUUAAAGCCCCCCGAGUCUGUUGGUAGUUUCUUUAGUGGUGGAUCAAUUCGUUCUUCAGCAGUAAGCAAAGCAGUGUCAUCGUAUCCUGUUGGUUAAGUAUAAAGUGAUCUCCACGAUAGAUAGUCUCUUUCUUUGUUUUCUAAUUCCUUGCUUUGACUACUAAUCAUUACAGCCUUAACCGAGCGCAGAGUUGUUUCAACUCCCGGUAUAAGCUGCUCCAUUAUACACUAUGUUCUGUGUGAAGUUACUAGCCCCCUCUUAUUCUAACUGACUAAUGCCUUUACGCUAAAGAAGCUUAUUUGACUUGUGCCUUAGCGAGCGAAUGUAUUUGACUACUACUACUAUUCCACUCACUUGUUGAAAAGAGUGAAAGAAUAGAGGAUAGACCCGUUACUUUGAAAAAGGAGUGCCAAAAAAGAAGACAAUAAAAUCAGAUAGGUCCGUAGCUUUGAAAGGAGUGCAAGAAUAGAGGAUGGGCCCCUUGAAACUAAUAGAAUAGAGCUACCCACUACAUAUGUAAUAUCGUUCGUAAAAGCAAUUAUUCCAUGCUAUGCCAUUCGAGGACCCUUUUCCUACUCCUAACCUAAUAAGUGAAAUCGACCUACAUUUGCAUUUUCCCGAAAAUGAAGGCAUAGAUUUGCUUUCUUUCCUUCCCCAGUGAUCCUUCCUUUACCUUUAAGAAUGGAGUUUCAGUAUUGCCAGUUGCCUGAGUUCGGGAAGUAUAGUCAAUAAGAUGUAUAGAUUGCUGAGUUGAAGACCGCAUAGUUAUAUAGUAUAGUUAUCAUAUGAGCUAUUGGAUAAGAAACCCUAUCAAAUAAAGGGGUUGGUGCAAAGUUAAUGUCUACUCGAUCAGAGGUUGGAAAAGAAAGGUUCACUCUGGUAUGCCUGCUUGGCCUGUAUGCCCGGGAUGCCUGCUUGGCCCCUACUAAAGGAUAUCUUCUCUUCAAUUUCCUGUUCUUGCUACUUAAUAUAAGGGCAACUAACCACUCCUUUGACUUUUGUCUGCUUGUCCGGCAGGGAAGGAGACUCUCCCAUUAAUAAGUAAGAUAAAAGCUUGUUACCCGCCUAGGUAUUCUAGAGCUAGAGCACCCACCCUCGCUACUUUAUAUUACAAUUGAACUAAGUCGCCUUAGAGAGUUAUAGGCUUUCCUCGCCAUAAAUAAGUGUAUAGGCUUUUAAGCUGGAAGGAAUGUACUGGUCGGGAAGAUACUUGUUCUCGAAAGAAAAGAAUCGAAUUAGUUGACAGCAGGGCUUUCAGGCGGGAAAGGUAGAGUGCAAGAGGCGAGUAGGCAUCCGAUGUUAGUAUUACAAGAAAGAAAGUGAGGGUGCUUGGUCCGCUAGGUUUAGUUCAAUAGGGUAGUGUUUUUGUCUUGUUAAUCCUUAGUGGGUUUCCCUAUUUCUUGUUUAAGUGCGAGAAGCAGUAAAGUGAAGCCUAUGAGCAGGGUAGGACGUCUUUGAGUAAGCAGUAACAGUAUUCGAAGCAGCGGUCUCAGGUUCAGAACAAGGGGGUCAGUUCAGAGGAUAAGUCUUGUCGGGCACUAAGUUCAGUUAGCACCGGUUCAUUUCGAAAAGUCGUAUUUUAUAGCCAGGAAAGGUAUACUAAAACAAACAAGCAAGAAUCAAGGUAAGAAGUAGAAGACUCCGAAGUGAAAUGCAUAACGCAAGAAAAAGGGCAGGGCUAGGUUCCGAGUUGAGAUCUUGUAGUUGUAGUAGAAUCUCUAGUUCCCAGUUAAAGGAUUCAAAGCAGUAGUUCUUUUCUUUGUAGCAGUGUGUUUCUAUUCUCUUUUCUAUACAGUUGUACUCCUUAAGAUAGUAGCGCGUAUCGGGGACAUAUGGGUGAACUGCGGAAUGCAAGUAACCUGUAUAGGAUAGAAUGUCGGGAAGCAAAGAGAAAAGGCAAAGGGAUAUCUGAUUUCAUUCAAGUAGGGAUAGACUAACAGGUGUGUCCAGAGAGAAUGAAACCCUGCAGAGAUAGAUUGAUAGCCAGUAAGGUAAGCCUAUGAGUGGGGAAUGGCAGACUAACAGGCGAGAUAGAAAUGGGAGAUAAAGACCUGGGACGCAGUAGAGCGAAUCCUAUAGUCUAGGGAGUUUCAGGAUCAAAGUGAAGAUAGUAGUAGCUAGCUUGGAAGCACCAGUGACAGCUUGAAGCGAGGAGAGGCAUACUUCAACAUACAAGCAGGCUAAGGGAAUAGAUGGUAAGCCUAAGAGCCGAGGAACGAGUAAAAGAACCGGCAAUACAUAAUUCAAAGUCAUAAGUAUAAGCCUAUAGCCCUGCUAGCAGUGGUUCAACUCCGAGUUAUAAGAACAAGUAUUUGUUGGCAGCGGCUCAAUUCACAAAGACAUAACAGUAACCCCCAACUAACAAAACGGAUUUGGGGGUUUUGAUUCUUGCAGAUGUCCCCUGGGUGCUGUAUUCCCUUCCCGUGUUUAAAUCCUUAGACUCCUUUCUGCAAUGCCUAGUUCCAAGUUCCGUUUGAUAUCCUUAUUACGUUAUGAGAACAAGUGGGUAGGGCACCGUAUCAGAGUGAAGGCAAGUCAAUUAAGCCUUACAGUCCAACUACAAAAUACAAAUAAGCAAUGGGAGUUUUAGAGCUCGAGCGAGGAACUGCAUAAUUGAGGUACGGCACCUAGUUCUUUCAGGUGAGAAAUCAGAAUCAAAGUUGGAGUCAAGUGAUCCGGAUCUCCUUUCACCCAAAUGCCCCCAUAAGAAUUUGACUCAUCAGUAGCAGACCUAAGCUAAGGCGGGAAAACAUAUAAGUUAGCCCUACAUCCCUGUCUUCUAUUCUUUCUCUACAAACUACGAUUCUACCGCUCCUUACUGACUUUCUUUAACACUGACAUGGAAUCCCUGCUUCUUAGAUUUAGUACUCUCCUCUCCUUUCUGAAUCGAUUGUUCCCAGAAGCUAUAGCUUGUUCCACUUGUUCUGCGUGUGCCUCAAUUCAUUCUUAUACUUCUUACUAUCGUCGACUUCUACUUUCAUUUAUUCUCCAGCAGAUGAUCUUGUCGACUUGACUUCUUCUGAUUUAUAUCCUGUUCAAUCUACAGGCUAAGAUCGUAGGAAGAAAAGGAAGUCCUAUUUAUAAGGGUAAGUGUCUUGCUAUCAGCUGUUUUUGUCGGUAGUGUCACAGUUUCAUUCCCUGUUUCUAGUAAGAGUAUUGCUCGUAGUAGAUCUAUUCCGGUAUGCCUAACCACCUAGGGUACAGUUCCAUUUUCUUAUCACUAGUCCAAUUCUAUCCAUUGCCCGUUUUAUUAUGAGAAGCACUUGUUCCUUCUAUUAGGAGUGACAUUCCAAUAAGUACUAGUUCAGUUCAAUUAUGGAUUCCCCAGCUUAUCCUUGUAAGCAGUAGGGGCGCAGCCUCAGUUUCAAGUUAAGGUCUUGUCAGCACUAGUUGAUUCCCUAUAUGGAGUGUUCGAUUCACACUGAGUUGGUUUCGUUGUUGCCUUAGCUGUAGUCGGUUCAGUCUUGUUGGCCUGGGUUUCCUAGUUCCGGGUGUCGGUAUUGUUAGUAGCAGCUCCAUUCCUUUGAGUAGUGAUAGCAAUCUCAUCAGCAGCGGAAUUAGGACUUGCACAAGUUAUAACAAUUCCUUUCUUCGCAUUACAAUUCCUGUUUUUGGGAGUUCAAACACUUCUUUAAUAACUAUGGAUUGCUCCCCCACCUCUGUAAACAAAUACAGAUUCGACUACUCUACUACUUAAGGAUGAAACUGGGAAUUCCACUGAUUGAACUCUUGAUGGCAACUAUGAACUUAAUUCAGCUAAUCUAACUCAUGCUCAUCUACCGGAGUCAACCAAUACAGAUGCAACUUUACCACUACACUCAAGCUUGCUUCUCUGGCUCAUAACUCUAACUCUGACAACCCUUACUAUUAAAGCUUCCACUCUAACAAGUACAGGAACAGAUCCUAUUGCUACUACUACAACUACUACUCCGAUAUUUCACUAAUUCUUCUUUCUGACCAGACCCGUUAGCUGACCUCUUACCUGGUAGCUGACCUCUUACCAGCGCCUAAACCCUACUUGAGAACAGAAGAGCAAAGUAACUACUAGACAAGUAAAGGAACAGACCCGCUUGCAACAGGCUUGGCUCUGUAAACUAACUAUUCCUCUGAUCUUGCUAAUCUACCUCGACUCUGGACUAGAGCAUCUCAGCUAACUUCAUUCGGCUCAUCCAACUUGAAACAAGCACUCCUGGCUCAUCCAACUCGGGCAACGAAUCAAGAUGAAACUUGGCCAAUCCACUACUACUACAUUACAUCUGGUGGAACACUAAGAAUUGAACCACUGUUUCCUUUCUAAUAGGAGCUUGUUUGUAGUAGGAUUCGGCAUUAUCUUAGUUGUACAUAGGCAUAUGGAUGCAAUAAGGCUACUCUCGGCGGGGUGGAUUAGCUUACAUUCGCUACUGCUGCAGCUUGUUUGUUUGCGCCCUAGCUUAAAAGUGCUCUAUGCCCAACACCGGGAAAGAAGAGUGUUUUGCCGUUGAAGCGCGAGCUUAGAUCCAUUUUUCUUAUGCAACUUAACAACAGAAAUGCGCGUCGUACUGAAAGUAGAGUCUCCGAGUUAGUGUUAGAGUCUCCUUUAGAAUAAUAGGAUGGAGCUAUAAGGGGAAGAACCAGAGUGCUGAGCUAGGUAUGCUCAAAGAAUCUAUAAUAAGAGAAUCAAUAGCCCACUAUAUGGGUAAGAACCAGAGUUAUGAGCUAGGUACGCUAGCCGAGUUAGUGUUAGAGUCUCCUUUUUAGUAUCCAUGUGUUAGAGUUCCCGCUGCUUUCGAUCCACCCCUUCCCUUGCUUUAAUCAUUUUAUUGAGUGCACCACUACCACAAAUAUAUAAUAGUCAACAACUAUAAGGAAGAAUCAAGAAUAAAGUAGGAUAACUUCGGAUUGAAAACUAUCUAAUGAACCCACGCACCCUGCAAUAACUCUAUUAGAUUAAGUUAGCACAACGGAACAAGGCGAAAUCUCUCUUAAGGAAGAAGCCCAGCCCAGCCCAGAACAAGCUUUAGGCAGUGAGGUGAUGUGACCAGUAACUUGUUAUUCUAUAAGUUGUGCCAUGAAAGCAGUCAGCAGAAGAAGUAGCGUUUGUAGAGUCUCGAGUUGGUUACUCAGAUACAUGUUGGUUACUCAGAUACAUAAGUUGUGCCAUGAAAGCAGUCAGCAGUCUUAGGUUACUAUCCUUUAAGCAAGGGUGAAAGAAUGAACACGCUAAAAGAGAAAAGGGGCACCUUAUAGAGCCGAGCGUAAUGGGUCAAUAAAAGCAGAAGCCUUAGCGAGAUCUACUGAAGUGGAGUAUCUUAAAGCAGAAGCCUUAGCGGGGUCUACUGAAGUGGAGUAUCUUAAAGCAAUGCAACGGAGUCAAGCUCUUUAGUCAAGUAAACAAACCGUAUUGCUUCCAACAAGAAACUACUAACGCAGAAGUUCAUAACAACACUGCGAACUCAAGUAAAGUAACAAAACACUAUUUUCUGUGCUUCAAAACUCCUAAUGCACAACAAGGCCUUGAGCCAGAUACUGGUAUUAGAGCUAGCUUAUAUAGUAUUUGUAUCAGGUAUUAGAGCUAGCUUAUAUAGUAUUAGUAUCAAUCAGCCCUGCCCUAGCCUUGCCUGUUUCAUUUCACUGACAAAGAAAAGAAGCAUUGAACUAACACGAACAUUAUAUGGAAUUGGGUAAAAAAGAGAUGGGUAGGUUCUCCAAAGAGCAUAGGUAGGUUGUUUCUACUCGUAUUCAAAAUAGAAAAUAAUAAUAAGAAUUUUGGAACUUGCAAAGAAGUCAUCAACGGCUUGCGGAACUCACAUUAGCACUUAUAGGUUACUAUACUAAAGAAAGAAGCGACUCUCGUCUCAGGUCAACAACAACGGCGCUAACAGAAGCUUGAAAGAUGGAAUUGACUCUUGACUUGUGCACUUACGGAGUUUGCCCCACCCUACCAGAUAGUCAGCCUUAGCUAUAGGCCACACCUGCCACGCUCAAGCAAGGACAAGAAGUCUCUCGCGGAUACCCAUACUUGCUCGAAGUAAAGUAUCUCGUCUCGUAAGGUAUCAAUCAAUUCUUCAAUUCCUGAACUUUAGGGAAAGAGUACUUAGGCGGGUUAGCAUACUUUACAGGCAAUAAGCAGGCAAUAAGAGUUUACGCGGAUCCAACAAGGGAUUCAACUCCAAGCGCAUAAGCAUUAGAUCCUUUAUCUCUUCUUACUCAAACACCAUUUGAAAACCACUCACUUCCUGGAGGAACUCUAUUUUGUGACCAAUAUCUAUCAUACCGAGCUAAUGAUUCUGUUUAUUAUCUUUCUAACUUAACGGAAACUGCUUCUUCCCCGGAUCCGUAUCCAGAUCCAGCAUCUGCUUAUACCUCUUUCUCCCCUGUGUUACAUAGAUAUAUCCAUACUAAACUAGAAACGCUAGAUUCCGAUUAUGAAAUACACUGUCGACCCGACCACCUCUACUUAUAAGUGCAGAAUGUCAUUAAGCAACUUCUCUCGCGGGUCCACGCAUACGCACAAAAUGCAAUUGAAAACUCCUAAUGCAUAAGCCAAAGAAGGUAUUGUUUUACUGUCUAUGAGCUCUAAAACGGUGUUUUGUACUUUCUUCUUCUAUUGAAUAACUAAAAAGCUACCACUCGGGUCUAUCAGACUCACUACCUUAUCAAAUAAGUCUUCCUUUCGCCUCUAAACUCCUUACUAGCAAAGGAAUCAGAUUUAGUGUCCCGGGUUAUAAGACCUAGACGAGAGGGUGACUUCACUCGACUUACAGGAAAGGGUGACAAGUGUUUCAGUUAUCCGCAUACUGUGUCAAAACUCACCUCUUUAUGUUGAACAAAAGAUUUCCACAUUACUCCGCUCUUCUUACUAAACCUACACCAAUAAGCUCCCGUAGCAAUAUAUGCCCAUGUGUUAGCAUCUUAGGAAGCCUUGAUAGGAUAAGCAUCUCCGUCCAUGGUAGGAAUCGAGCCAAGCGCAACUUUUAGGCUAUACUUCAAUCAAUAAUUCAAGGCUUUUAGUCAUCGCUCUGUGAAGGAGUGGGCGAAUCAACAUCCGGCAAAGGCACUGCUAGCGCACUCUCGUCGAUCCACCACAAAGGUUAACGACGUAUAAGAGUUUUGAAUCCAAUGGGGUAAGCUCUAAACCAAGAUUGGAUACUAGGUAAAGAACUUAACUCUACGCACUGAAACAAGCGACGGAACAAGAAGAAGCACCGCCCUCCUUACUCCCUAAACACAAUGACACAUGAACUCAAACAUCAUUUCCUCGCACCCUCUGGAUACGAGUGUAAUUGAAUUUCCUCGCACCCUCUGGAUACGAGUGUAAUUGAAUUUCCUCGCAACCGACCUAUACUUGCCUAUUCUCUUAGCGCCUAAGCUUGUUCACUUACUGAUGCCUACUGAGUAAGUCUGGUCCCGGACUUUUACUGUUUGAAUAAUUCAUGGAAUCUUUCUUUCUUGCAGACAAUGCUAGAACUACACUUGAUUGACUUCCUACUUCGCGCUUGCUGCUGAUUGACUUUAUACUGUAAUUACCCGAGAGUUGAUUCUUCCCCUAACUGCCCCCACUCGAUAAGAAUGGAAUGGAAUCUCUGCUGACCUGAGCUUUCGCACACCAUCCCUUUCUUUGGAAUCUGAUUAUGAUCGGCUUGGCACAGAUCCAUCUUUCGCUUCUGAUCCUUCACUUGCUGUUGACGACUAAAUUGAUUAACUACUUCUUAUCGGUUCGGCUUCAUAUCCUGCUCCUAAUAGAGAUGAUUCCUUGCGCUUAGACCAGUUCCAAAUAUGCUUCUGAUUCAAUGCGCUCUUCCUAGGUGAGAGAAAUUCCUUUCUUUAGAGUCAAGAGAGAGAGCAAGCAAGUGGUUAAGUUACAGAUGCAACAAACAACGGGUAGAAUGAACAAGCAAUGGAUCGAGUCACUACUAAACAAGCAUCAUUUUUGGAAUCCUUUGAGCGCCUUAGAUGAAACUCGGGAUUAACGGAGAUUGCUGCUGUCAACGCGGAACUCAAACCUGCUUGCUACUGCGGGAAGUGACUGUUAAUAAGUUGUUCCAGAGGUCUUUCUUUGUCUUCAUUUUCUUUCUUUGUCUUCAUUUGUUUAAGAUCACUACAAGGGGCUGAAGAAGGCAAUAAUCUCGGUGUUGGACUCGGGUCUCUGUUACUGUUAAGAGAGUUCGUGCGGGGGCGGGGUGUGUUAGUGAGUGGUGCGGCGGAUGACUCUCGGGGUGCUAAAGGAAAGGCGAGCAGUCUGAGGUCACUUUAAUGAAAGAUGUAAGCAGCGAGGAAGCAGUUAGGUUACCUUCAAGGAGUGGGUGCUUACGUGAGUUCCAGAGUUCGGUUCCGCAGCCUCCGCAGUUGCUUUAUAUUUGACCUACGUCUCAGCAGUUGAUCUUCAAUCAACAAAGAACUCCUUAGCGGUAAACUCGCAAACUCCCUUACGAAAAUCCCUUCCCUUUUCGUUUGCCCGAAGAAUCCAAUCAGUAUUCAAUCUCCCAUAUAAGUUGAGAAAGAGUCGUUUUAGGUUGUCCCUUAUUGAUAGCCCCGAGUCAGCAUUUAUGAGCUUAGCGGGUGGAUAGUGCAAUAAGCCUAUAUCGAUCCUACCACCUUUCAAAUCCAUAUUUUGGAUAGCCUCUCGCCUUUCGAAAUCAGGUCUAGCAUCAACUCAGUCAGAUCUUCUCUUGUUUGCCCGCUUUUAUUAGGCUUCCAAAUCAUCUUUGAUCGGCAUUUCGUGCCUGCAUCCCUGAUCCAUUCGACCUUUUCUCUGUGAGUGUAGUUGUAGUAAGGUUAGAGGCGCCACUAUCAGAGUAGGCCAGGCGCUAGUUUCUUUUUUCUUAUAUGUCUUUCUGUCUCCGAAGUCCCUUUUUCUCAAUGCUGUCUGUCUCCGAUGAUCCAAAUCUUGCUUAUUAUUCUAAUCUAGCUUCAUAUCCAUCUUCGGCUUCAUAUCCUACAAUAACAGUCCAUUCAGCUGCUGCUUAUUCUGAUUCUAGGGAUUCUUCUUGGCCCAUUUCUUAUUGAUUAUUUCCCCUAUCCCCUGUGUGCCUUGUCAACAACUACUUUAUUGAAUCUUGGUUGCGCAGAGUAAACCUUUUAUGUUAUUGAAUCCUUCUUGACUUGCAAAUAACUCGCCGCGCUACUGACUACUAAGCUUGGCCCAGGAGUGCAUACCGAAGCCCAUAUCCAUUAACAGCUCAUGGGAAUGGUCAUAUGUGGCAGUAGGCAUCAAGACCGACCCUUUCAAAGAGCCUAUUCUAUUCCAUUCCUCAAUAGAGGCACAAGCUAUUAUUGAAAUAUGCGUAGUCAUAGUGUGCUCAUUUAACCCAUUGAAGUGAAGUCUUGUCUUGUCCACCGAUUGUGGGGUAACGGGAACUUUUCUUUGGGAUUCGCUUGGUUAAUCGUACUUCCAAGGGUGUCGUACUCCAGCUUGCCAGGACUUUUGACUGGCCUAGGACCACGAGUCAGAGGCGCAUCUCUUGUCUGUCUCACGAUGGUGCACCACUAAGGGCUUUUCCCUAACAGCGGAUUCCUAGAAUGGAUUAGAAUGUCAACUGAAUCCGGAGUGCAUCAUCCGCCCCAAAAAGGCAACUUCUUUCUUGGUGUACAGCGUCGACUACUGAGUCGUCUGCCUCUUCUUAAGAGAAUUUGAUCAGGCACGCGUUUCUCUAUAGAGUGUCCUACUACACACACCUCCGUGAAACUCAAAAAAACACUUCUUUCUUCGGGAGAAUCUAAUUAAUAUAAAUAAUACCUGAGGUCGGGAUCGAGGAACUACUGCUGGAGAACUGCUGCUUACUAACUGAACUUUCCAUAUCGUUUUGAAUUGGGAACUUCAAGUAUCGUUUGCGUCGACAAGCGAGUUCCCCAUCUCAACGUCUUCCUUCUCAUGAUCCAAAAACCAAAUUCACUACUGUCAACUAUUUCCGCUAUUCUUGAAGCUAAGUCGACUAUUCGGCAUUCAACAUUCUUCAGAAGUACUCUCUUAUUGCGCACCGUCUUUUCAAGUUAUCGAAUUCUUUUUCCCUUGCGAGUUCCGUUGCUUUAAGAUACUCCCCGUACUCUGUACUUUUAAGAAGGUCAUAAUCAAGGUGAAAGGCAGGGCUAUAAGGCUUAUUUCUCUAAGUGGAAGGCAGGGCUAUAAGGCUUAUUUCUCUAAGUGGAAGGCAGGGUAAACGAUACUCUUAUGUGGAAUCUAUCAUUGAGGGUCCGCUCUGAGAAUACAUUAGUAGCCUCAAAUACUGGAUUUGCAAGCACAGAGUCAAUACAUAAUCCUUUUAGCACGAGAAGAUCAGAUCAGAGAACUCCGUAAGCAGAAGUCAAACAAUCAUUUCAUCUAUCGAGCUAAAGUCAAACAUUCAAAUCAGCUGUUGUUUAACCCGCUAACGCACCCGCUCCAGAAUGAAAGGAAGUAGUAGGAAGUAGUUCAAGCUUAAAGCAUAUAGUAUGAUUAACUCGGGACUGGAACUCCACAUUAAGAAGAACCUAGGGCUGCUGAUGAUUCGGCUUCGCCUUUUUCUCCGGAUCCUUCUCCAAAUGCUUUUAUUCUCUUGUCCACUCUACUAGAAUGGAAUUUGAUGAUUCGGCUUCGCCCACCCGACCUCUCCUUAAACAUUAAUUUCCAUCUAUCGCUGUCAGGUAAACUCCCUUUAGCCGCUGAUACACUUAUUCUUGUUGGGCUGGGCCUGUCUGUGAACAAGCAGUAAAGGUCAACUUUCCUUCCCACGGAGUUUGCAACUAACUUGCAUUCGGCUUCAGUCAAACUAAGAAAGAAUUUCCAUCUAUACUUUGCGCCUACGCCUAUAAGAUUGGAUUUGAGAUCAGUUGCACAUGGGGAAUUCCGUAAAUACAUAGCUUGUUAACCUUUUGAAUUAGCAUUAGCGAGUUAACCCUUGAGAACUGCUUCCUUAUAUGAUGAAACAUAUCCUUAAAAGAAAGCAAGCGCCUUAACCGAUUAACUGCGUAGCUACGUGAGAGAAAAGAAAAGAGAUGAGCCUAUAGCCCUAUGCAUUCUAUUAUAGAGUUGAGUAGAUUCCGCUUCAACAUAUGAUAUAAGUGGAACUGGGCGAAGGAUACUUCCGGACAGAUGCGCUUUCGCCAACACCGAUACACCUCUUCUUCACGGCAACACUUCUUAUUACUCAGAUUACCGCUCCGGGGGGCUAUACUGAGUCUAUACAAUAAAUACUUUCGCUUCUAAACUCAUCUGCGCAUAUGAAAGAAAAGAGUAGUAAACUACGGGCUUGACGGAGCUUCUUCUCUCGUUGACAACACUGCACCCUUACAAGACUCUCUGGGCUAUCUUUCUGUACAACUAAAUAAUGAGACCAGCCCUGGAAUUCCAUCUGGGUUUUCCCUUGUAGUGGUCCAGUCCAAGCACCGAACCGCGACUUGACUUCCAUAACUAUCCCAUCCCCGCGUAGUAACUAAACUAUACUUGCAGACCCAAUGGCUUUAUACCCUUACUUUCGACCCUUGCUUGUUCCCCGAACUUCCUUAACUGAGACCAUUGCACUUUUUGCUAACUUAACCUAUGUGAAACAGUGCUAAUAGAAAAAUCCCUUCAUGGAAACUCUCCAACUGGACUUAUAAUGAAUUUCGCCUAAGAAACAUAGACCCACUCCUUGACCUGACAUUACUUAACGCUUUAGUCAAGUCAGAAAAUAGUACAUUUCCAUCUUCGGCAUCAGAUCCAGCUUAGACAGCUUACUUGAGAGCUACUUCUUCUGUUGGGCCAGCGCCAGUACCUGUAAUUGAUCCAUCCCCUUAUUCCCCUUAAACAAACAGCCGCAGAAUGGAAUGACACCUUUCGAGCACAUUAUGGAGAUGGUAUAGAAAUGGGGAAUAUGACCUAAUCUAUACUUCACUUUAUACUUUACUGAGUUUUGCUUGUUUGCUUGUUCGGGACUUGGUCAUAACUUGGCAAAUGGAGAAUCUCUCCUCUGAUCUUGCCUCUGCCCUUAUAAUAAAUGGUAGACUCACUACUUCCCGCCUCAGAUCUUCCUUCUUCUAUGGGAACUCUACUUUCAACAAAUCAUUCUUUACUUAGCUCUCCCUCUUACCUCUGACUCUUGCUCCUCUGUUGCUAUUAUACCUAAGGCAACUAACACUCUCCUCUGGCUCUGGCUCUUUAAUAAGUGCUCUAGAGCUUAAGUCUCCUUUCCUCUUGAACUCCUAUUUCCUAGUUUCCUAUUUCCUCUUUCUCUAGAAACUCAUAGCUUACCGCAAGCACCUAAACUAGUCUCUGCAGAGGCAAACAAAGGGCCCUUACUAUCAUUUCUGCCAAUAAGUCAACAACUACGGGAGGGGUGCCGGUCUUCAAGCCAACAGAUACUGAAUGGAAUUCCGAGGGAACAAACAAGAGUCAGUUUCCCAGUCAGAAGAAGUUCAUUCUACCCUAUAAAGUGGAAAGUCAGCAGCAAGCGCAAAAGAAAGUCAAGGUGGUCGAGGAAAGUCUAUCAGAGAAAGAUGUAGAAGAUGGAAAGUCGAAUGGACGACACUUUACUAAGAUCUAUACUAUGUGCCCGCUAGCGGAGUUCUCUUGUUCGCAAAUCCAGAUUGAGUCCAGGCCAUAUAUUAGAUAGAGACACUCUUUCUUUUUCCCCUUCUCGCCAUUUGUUGUAAGAUAUGCUUUGUUGUAAGAUAUGAUAUAUGGCUGUUUGGUUACUGAAGCAUAUCCAUGUGCAAUAAUCAGAUUCUUGACCUGUGCUAUAUUACCAUAUUAGGAAGCUAUAGAUGCCGGAAGAGAGAAAGAAGCCCAAUUCAAACAAUCAAUACAAAUAGAGAGCUAAAAAAGUGCUAUAUUGCUUCAACGCUAAGGUACCAUUUCGAAUGUCCUUCCUCCGCGCUAAGAUCCUUCCUUUACUGUUUCCGUUCUACUUUCAUCGCUAGUUUCAUCCUAUAUUAUGCAUGUUUCACUCGGCACAAGAAAAAUGACUGGUUGACUCUCGCCCUACUGCUCGAAAGAAAAAAGUGUCAUAUUUCUCAUAUCAUUGCUUAACACAAGCACCGAACCCAUGCCUAUUAAGAAGUGAAGAACCUACUAUCCACCAAUCAACUACUAGGCACCAAUACUAGGCAAAACGGGACCCAUACCUGAACUAACUCUAUCUGACUUGCCGACUUCAACUCGUCUUGAUUGAUUUCCUUCCCUAGUGCUACUCUCUGGCAACAAUUAACUAUAUAAGAAUUCUACUCUCUAUAAUACCUAGGCGGUGUAACAAGACUGAUUCAGUUGCUCCCUAACCCGAUCUUGACUCUCUACUUUAAGUUUCAGAAUAUCUUGCAGCUUAUGGAACUCUACUCACCAAGCUUAUACAAGAGUCGAAUCUCCUUCUUUAUUUCAUAAUUCGUUUAAGUAGUGGGGUCGAGAACUUGAACUGGGCAUUCAACGUCAACAAACAAGGAUUGAACUCACCAAUCAACCUAGAAAUCAAAAGUAUAUAUUGUCUAAGUAGUCAAAGAAUUCAACUAGUUGUCGACUUGGGUGCUAUGCCCAAUAUUCUGCUAUUGCCUACCUAUCCGAUGGCUGAGCCUUUAUCCUAUGCCUUUUCAUCUAAUCCAACUCAUUUGUUUUCAACUUGAUUUGAUAUCUGAAUUAGGCUCAUCUACUUACCCAAGGCAACAAGACCUAUGGCUACAAUUUCAUAAUGCCACUAGUAGUUAAGGCCACUACUCGGGGAUGUAAACCUAGACCGCUCUACUACACCUAUUGCUACUAAUAAAGAAUUGCACUCGGAUCAUCUACUUCAUAAGCUAGAUCAGCUACAGGCAGAAUAUCUUCCUUCUUCAAGCGAGGUAUCUUCGAAGCACCUUUGUAUGCGAAGGAGCGGUCACUGGAACAAGACUUGUGGAACGGGUCGAUAACACACCUAUGGGCUGGGCUAGAUAUGGAACUAAUUGUCCUGAGAAGAAACCCUAUCAAAUGAUAUAUUCUCUUUUACAGAUGAAACUACUCUACUACUUGUUUAAGGGUCAAGGGUCAUCGCCUAUGUCUUCCAAUUCUAUUCCUCAGUUGUUUUUGCUUGGCCCGAUCCUUUACUUCUUUUAGAGGGUCCGCUUGGCCUCACUACUAUAGUUACAAAUCUUGUAGUUGCAGUGAUUGGCUUGACCGAGUUUCAUCAGUUAUCCUUAAUAAGAACAUAUACCUAAUUGAGUAUGGGAAUAGUAUAGAUCAUAUCCAAAGAAAGGGAACUCGUUUCUCACUUUUUGGAAUGUUUUUUCAAUUAGAAAUUAUUUCACCACUACUCAGGUAGUUGCGGCGUUAACUGGGCCCUCUCUUUGCCUUUACCUGCUUGCCCCCUUGUUGGAUCUGUUCUCGUAUAGUUUCAUCUGUUCUCGUAUAGUAAGUAGAAGAAAAGACAUAGCUUGUUCACCCUUUCGCCCGAUAUACCCGGAUGAAAACCCUUCUUUUGAGUCCAGUGUUUUAGGGCUGAUUGAUACGGCAGGGCAAUUCAUAGUUACUAGUGGCAUUCUUAGUCGAGCUGGUAUAGUUGACUUUUGAACUCACCCCUCGUAGUAGUUUUGACUUGUAUGCUUGGCCCUUCCACCGGCAAUCCAAUCCACCGGUUACGGACAUUCCUUUCCUCAUAAGGAUAGUCUAUCUCAGUAUAGUGGGCAACUCGUUUUUCAAAGAUCAAGAUAGGCAGGAGUCACUUUUGUAUCGACAUAUAGCUGCAAAAGUCCUUAAUUCUAAAUAAGUGAGACAGGGAAGACAAGCCAGCAAUAAGCAAUGGAAGCAAUGCCCCAGCUUUUGAACUCAACCAGACCUAGGAACUGCAAUGCCUGUAAAAGAAAGAAGUAAAGCUUGCCAGUCUACUCAUUGCAUUGCUAUCUGAUAGCCAUUGGAAACCUUCUCACUAUUAUCACAUAUAGAAGAAUGCUGCUAUUCGGACAAUCUUCUUCUAGCGAGUCAAUGUCGGAUAAUCUAGCAAGAGCUUAUAGUGCAAGGUGCGGAAAGCCGGAUGGAGCUUAAACAAGUGGGAAUCAAGACAGCAACAAGUCCCAUGUUGAAUGAGAUAGCUUGAAUCUUCCAAUCUUUCUGAGCUAUGAAGUGGAAUAGGCUGUCUUCCCUGUAACUCGGAAGGCGGAUCAAGGUACAUGAACCACUACCGGUGUUGAACCGCUCCUGCCGCUACACUCGAAGACAUCGGAGGUCAAAGGAAAGUCGACAUCGAUAACAGAAUAAUAAGUGGAAGUUUCAGUUUCCAGUGAAAGUUAAGGAAAAGUGAUGGAAUUCUUUGUUGCUUCAGUAAAGUGAUAGUUUAGGUCGGAAAUGCAAAAGAUAAGGGAAUAGAGUAUUGCAUAGACCCCCACGGAGCGGUAAUGAAAGAGGUGAAGCUGUAAGAAAGUAAGCUGCCCAACUUAGAUAAGCGAGACCAGCCCAGGCAAUGAAAUCUGUGUAAAAGUAUCAAUGAAAGUAGGCGAGAGGCCAAAACGAAGCCAAGCCCUUUGUUUACUCGAAUCUAUCAUAAGAAGCAAUAAGGUAUAUUUGGAUUAGGAAUCUGACCCCAGUAUCUAUACGAUCUCGAAAGCCAUCCAUAUCAUAUAUCAUGUCAGUCCUCGUUCCCAUAUACCCAGUGUAGUAUAUGAGUUCAUAGCAGAUUCUGGCUCCUAUUUCUACCAUUUCAUAUUGAAUAAGUUCACGAAGUACUAGGCGGAGCUACUAUUGAGACAGAAAACUCCACGCCGAUACCUAUUAAGGAGGGCUCUCCUUUUUCAUUCCCUUUCUUUCUUCAAUAAAAUAAGCUAAGUAAAGAAGCGAGUUCCCUUUCCUGGCCAGUAAAUGCCAGCGGGAGUGCCUGUUUCAAUUCCCUUUCGAUUAUCGCAGUCGCCGUAUGCUUCACACGUGGUGUAGCGAAAGCAAGGUCAUGGUAUAAAGGCUUGGUUCUCUUCUCGGUCAAAAGCCUAGUUCUCAGUUAGCUAAAAAGAUAUGGGCUAGAGCAAGGCAGAGGAUUUGAAGCAGGUCUAGUCUUCAAAAGCAUCGAUUGGCAGAGGUUUUUUUGUAGCCCAUUGUGAUGAAUAUUGGAAGUUGGAGUUGAUUUUGAUGUCGCUAGGAGUUAUCUUACACCCUACCAGUCUCCCUUUUUGAAAGCCUUUCCGUCCCUUUCCUGUUUCGAUGAGUCAUAAAUGGAAAAAAGCUUAAUAAUCUACUUUCGAGCUUUUCUUCUCGCUCCAAGUUCAUCAAUUGCAAACUUACUUAUUACUUCGAUCGAGCAAGAAUUGAAAGCAAAUUGGAGUCUACAUAUAAGAAGUGGUUUACUUAGGCUAAGGCAUUUCAGUUUACACCCCAUACUAAUUCAUAUGUUAAAGAGUCAAGCGCCUUCCCAUACCCUUAGGAAAACCAGUGUGAAAGCAAACGCAGAAAUCAAUAAUGUGUUUGUUUCUUUAAUCAAAAAAGCAUCGAUUGCUGUUCGAGUCUGAAGGUAAUCUCUUUGGAAAGGAAAGUUCAAGUUCUCUUGCUGAGAGAGAGAGUUCCUGGGAGUUGGAGUCUCCAGACGAGUGUCUCUCAAGUGGAGAUAUUUUCUGACUCGAUCCAUAGGUAAGGGAUAGGAUCUAGCAAGUAUGUUAUUACGCUUAGGAAAGUUCCCCGUCAUCAAAUUCGAAUCCUUCUGCUUUCGAUGGCGCCGAUCUAAUAAUAUACCUUAUAAAUCCAAUAAUAUACCUUAUAAAGAAAAGAUCAAGACUAUAUAAUCCGCUAGCCUAGUUGCAGGGAAUUGGAUUUCUCAGUGCCCGUUGGGAUAAGGUGGAGUCUCUUGGGGCUUACAUCUCGCGCUGUAAUAGAUCUCUUUCCCUUAAAGGUGAUAGUUUCUCUUAAUAAUUCGUUCUUUCCUUUCACUCUAUCGAAGGAUAUGUGUAGGUCUAAGGCGCUGAUAGAUUGAUUUCCUUUCCAAGUGCUAUCUAAGAAGUGAGUGCUCAAUCGAGUUUCAAGUAUGACCGAGUAAUAGGAUUACAGCUUAUACAGGAAUACCCUUUUCUGCUUUUGCUUGAUUCGAUUCAUAAAGUGCUCAAAGAUAAGUGCGUUUUCAAUACCUAAGGCAAGUGUUCUAUAAAUUCGUUAAUAAAGUCCGGGUAGAAAUCAAUACGGAUGGAUUUGAUUGAAGCCUAUAUCUGCCGAUCUUUUGUUGCUCUUGAGCGAACGAAUAGGUUACCUUAUUAUUCCAUAUCCCUCUGCUGGAACAGAAGUCGAGUGGAUCAGUAGCAUCUUGGUAUAAGUAAGUACCGAUAUCGAUAUAGAGCAAUUGUUGCCGGCCUAAAUAGUUGGGCAGGAUAACUCCUGAUAGAUUAACCGAUCUGAGUUUGGUAUUUCCAUUCCUAUAGGAUUUGGGCGGAAUUCCUUUUUGAGAGAAAGAACCAAAUCAAAAGAAAAACAAUGGAGAUCCAUUCACCCUGUCUUUAGAUUCUCAUUCUAUGCUAGGGGGAACUGUUCUACUUUCAUGCAAGGCUUAUUGACGCUGAUGUUCGAAAUCGCUCUGUGUCCAUCUUUACUAACAUGCCUUUGAGAAAUAGAGUCCUUGGUUAUGAUUAUACUGUUCUAUGCCCUCGGGUUCCUUCACUCGCUUAAGAGAACUAUAUUCUUUGCUCUUUCCCCAGACACCGAGACUUGCACUUUUGACUGACAUUCCGCUUGUGUUCCGUGGAGUAGCUUCUUUAUCCCGUCGCAGGAAAGGAGCGACUACUCUUGCUUGGCCGUUAAGAGUUCUGCUAUUUUCUUCUUUUGUGGGGCAUCUUAUAAUCCUUAGUUUUGCUUGCUUCUGUGAGCAUAUCCUGUUCAACGAGUAUGGUUUCUUAGCUACUGGCAUCCUUUCCUUCGUGCUAACAGCCAAAGACCCAUUUGUCCAAUCCAAACCUAUAAGGCGCACAAAGAAGCACUUCUCUUACGAACGUUGGAGCAUCACUUACUCGCGAAUCCCGAAAGACAGACUUCCUGAGCACUUGCCUAUUUCUAUUCAUUUCUAUUCCUUGCCUAUUUCUAUUCAUUUCGAUUCUAUUAUUCUUUGUUAGGCUAUUCGCGGGGAAAAAGAAGGGCCUUUCCUCUUGGCAUCGAUCUCAUAUCUGUGUCAAAGAGCGGAGAUUCUCUUAUCUAUGUCUCUUCUAAACUAUGCAUGCCUGCUCCUAAAAUGCAUUCUUUGUUUAGUUCAUACACUGCACUCCUUCGCCACCCGGAGACAAAGAUUCCAUAAAUGAAGUUUCCUGCAAGCGCAAAGUAGACCAGAGAAUCAAAAGGAGAACGAUCUAAAGUAGAAAGAUACGGGUCUCAAGUAGGAGUAGGAUCUUAUGUGGGUAAAGAAUAUAGAGCUGGUGAGGAAGCCGGGUUCACUCAUAGAAUUAUUCAGAAGCUAACUACAGCGGAAAAGAAGAAAGAGUCAACCUAAAGCAUUAAAGAGAGAAACAGCCCUUAUGUUUUCAAGAGAAAGAAGAUACUUGCUAAGAUAGAUAUACCCCGUUUUGAAGCAAUGCUCUGUUAGGUUAAGAAUUGAUGGAAUAUGCGGAUCAUGUUAUUCAAGCAAGGGCAGCUUAUUUAUUAGAUGGGGAGCGGGUAGUUACAUCAAAAUAAGUAUAGCAAGCCCGAGUUCCCGGUUGAGUCUAUCAGGUAGUAAGCCGAUUCCCUCUUUUGCUUGUUUCGACCUUACCGGUAUUGUAUUGGUGACAGGAUCCGGGUAUCGAGUGCAACUCUUUCCAUUAGUAGUCAAAGGCUAAGUUCCUAGUUAAAGUACUUCCAUUAGCUGUUCCAUCCGCCAAGUCACUACCACAGAUGAGACUGACAUCGCUACUAACGACACAACUAGGCGAUUUAGUUACUACCGGCAAGACUUCACCUAGUACUUCCAAAGCAUUACUCGACCCACACAGGGUUUAGUAGCCCCUGACUUGCUUUCGUUCUCGUAGUCGUCCCUGGCGUUCCGGCUCAACACUUAUACCAUUACUCAUGAGAAUUCAUUGUUGUAGCCCAAGCCGUAGUCUUAUGCCACGCCCAGAGCAGAAAAAAACACGAGUCCUCUGUGUUUCAAAGCUGACACUACUAAGCCAUCAAGUCACCCAACUAUUAGAUCCACCCUAGUGUUAUAGAAAGAAAGUAUAGAUGGUAAGGCGGGGAAACAUAGAUAUCAGAUCUGAAGUAAGUAGUCGAUUUCCUAUUGAGUAGAGCAAGUCUGCUCCAAGCGAGUAAGGAUCUAAAUCAGUAGACACAGGGUGAGAUCGAGCUUUGAGGUAGGUGGUGGCAGUAGAUAGGUCAUAAGUAAAAACAGGCCUAUUAGCAGUAGUUGGUUUCCCGGUUGCUAGUUAAGGACCUGUUAGUGCUAGUGGAAUUCUCUUUUCUUGGAUUCAUUGCUAGAUGCGCUAUAGAUUAUACCUAUGCUUCUAAAUGCCCUAAUAAAUAAGUUCAUUAAGGGUUGCAUUAUGGUUGCAUUCUUAGAAGAACACGGAUAACUAAUUGAAUAAUGAAAAGCGAUAAAAGAAAGAAACACAUAAUAUAGAAUAGAACCCGGGCGGAAAAGACUGCUACUUACUAAUAUAGGAAUAAAAGAACUACUAGAAAGAGUCACUACCUGCCCAACAAACAAGACAACAACUCAUAAGUAGGAGAAUGCGAUCAAUAACAGGAAGACCAGAACUAGCGGUGUAAAGAACUUCUAUAAGAAUACUGAAUUGAGAAGGACACUUGGAAUCCAGCCGUAUAGGAAUAACGACUACCAUAUGGAAUGCAACUAACAACCAUUAGCCUUAAGUUGCUACUGAUAGGGUUCAGUCGGAAUACACCGAACUUGGUCAAGCGCCAAUACUAAUAUAUCAAUAAAAGAAUUGCACCGAUACCAAUAAGGACGGAACUACCAGCCAGCAGCCAGCAGCUGACGCUGACCUUACUUUUCUUCUUUCACUAAUGACCCGGAACCCUGUCGUCUGUAUUGCACCUCGGAUUCUUACACACUCCAUAGAGAUAGGCCUUACUCAUAUAGCCAUAAAACGGAUAAUACUUUCUAUUAGAAUAGAGAAUUGCGCUGGCAUUAGCAGGAUGAAACCGCUGUUUUUAAGGCUGCAUUUAGACAAAAAGAAAGACUUCUUAACGAAAUGGGAGGGAAUUCUUUCACUGCCGGGCAUGAUCCUGAUCCUGUCUCCUUGCUUACUUUAACUGAUUAAGAUAAGACUUGCUCUUUGGCACAAGAGAAUCGAACCUUAUGGCACGUACUCAAAACAGGCAAUCCGAAUAAACCCAAUGAAACAAACCAAUAAGAAGAAUACUAGAAAUAGGAACUAAGCCUGGCAACUACUACCCAUAAUGUAAGUAUUAAUACGGGAGGGCAAAAAGGCAAGUAAAUAAGGAUCGAACUAAGGGAGAAGGAUUGUGCUACUGGGUUGAGUUCUAUGAGUGAAUUUAUUGAUUAUGAGUUGGCAAAGGCAAAGCAAGGAAUAGCUACGUUAUAAUGAGUUAUUCCGGUUUCUCAUUUGUGUUUCUUAGUUUCAUUCCCGUUUUCUUGUUUCGUUAGUGCACAGUUGGAUUCGUUAUGGGCUGUGUCUCAGCCAUGCCCCCCAGGAGAAAGUAUCAUCGGUUUCAGUUCUAUUCAGGGGUUAUCGUCAGAGUAGGAAGAAAGAUGUUUGCUGAGCACCUGCACCAACUGUUAUCAAGGGAAGAGAAAAACAACUACCUUUUUUCACUAAGAAACUAGAAGCAAACUACUAAUAAACUAGAUUCAAAUCUCAUAUAAGAAAAACAUUCUAUCUAACAUGCAUGAGUGAACAAAUUAAUAGAAGAGUGGAACUGGAACAUAGGCAUUUACGAGCUAGCUACUAUAAUACAAAGAAGGGAUAGGCAUAUUUCAAAAAGGCAGGACAGACUUGAUCGAUAGGAUAGUAAGGAUGCCGGAUAGCAGUUUCAGAGCUAAAGCAAGGGUCGACAUACUGAGCUCGCUGGGGAGAUGCUAGAUGAUAAAAGGAACCCCGAUUUCGGUAUGAUUGAAUAUACCACUUUUUCUUAAGGUGCUCGCCCAAGGCUAAUUAUUAUAUCUUAUCUAAUGACAAAUCAUUCUUUCUUUCCCACUUGGCACUUGUGGUAGCUUAGCUGCAUUCCGCUUACUAGUUUUGUUGAGGUCGCUACUCUUUCUUCUCCUUGUUUAGGUCGGCUUACUCUUUCUUCUCCUUGUUUAGGGCGCUUACUCUUUCUUCUCCUACUGAGUUGUUUUAUGUAUUCUGGAAAUGACUGAUUCAGCUAAGGAUCUUACUUAAGCCAAAGAUAUCGUUAUGUUCUUAUUAUUGAUUAUGUCUAUAAGGGGUAAUUGACGAAUUACUAAUUCCAAAAGAGUCUUGACUAGCGCCCAAAGAGUCAAAGUAGGGCGUGGCCAAGCGGUAAGGCAUCGGGGUCCCUACAUUCGGAGGUUAUAAUCCUUCCGUCCCAGAUCGUUUCCAUCAUAAACUCAAGAUGGGAUCACAUUGUAUCCCACAUAAGUGUCAAAAUCAUAAAGAUAACAACCUUUUCUUUUGUUCUGAAUUAGGAGAAUGGAUUCUUAGAAUCCUAUUGCUUUCUAUCUUAUAUCUGACAUGUCAAAAAUCAAUAUAUUUGGAAAUCCAUGUAACGGGGCGGGGGGAUAUUUUGAUAUGGGGAAUCUAUUGGAACUUGAUUGUAAGGUAUAUAUGGAAGAAUUGUUGUAAGGGUAUAUAUGGAAGAAUUGUUGUAAGGGUAUAUAUGGAAGAAUUGAUUGUAAGGUAUAUAUGGAAGAAUUGUUGAACCGGUGAAAACAAUAUAUAAUAUAUCCUUAGAAUUGGAACUAGGCCUAUGUAAUCCGCUUGCUAUCCCUAUAUGUGUCUAUGCUAUCCAUGCUUUCCCUAUAUGCUAUCCCUAUAUGUGCUUAUGCUAUAUCAAAUAAGUUUCUUGUCAUUGUUGUAUUUCAAUAGCAAUGGCCUUUCACUAAAUCAUUUUAGGAAGGGGUGGAGAUCUCUUCUUCUUCAAAUAUCCACGAUUACCCCCAGUUACAAUAUGAUGAUUCGUAUACUUAGGGAAUGAACUAUCCGCUAUGAAUUUGGAGCAACUCAUUGUGCGUCGACUUGGUGAUGGAAUUAUAGAUCCAGUUCUUUAGUCAUGACUAUAAAACAUAGUUCCAGUCAUAAUGCUGAAGUGAAGUCGGAGAUCUUUUCAAACAUUCUUUUAUUAACUCUUGGUUGGUACUCGAAGAAGUAUGAGAAAUCCAUAGUAUAUCAACAAGAAAGGCAGUGAUUCAAGAGGAAUAAUUCCUAUCGGUGAAAUUCAUCUCUUCUCCCAGAUCUUCUUUGUAGUCCGGUAUAUGUCUGAAUUCAUCUUGUCAGUGUCAGUUAGAGGAAUUGUUUGACUUGGCUGCUUCCUUCGAUAAGUAGGUUCUUCCUUUUUUUGACUAUAUACCCCCUCGCUCUUCUUCUCCGUUUUGUAAGUGAAUUAAAGACGAACAUAAGAAAUAGUUGAACGAUCCACUUUUCUAUCCGGCUAGAAAUCCCAGAUAAGCAGUUUUGCCUUCUACACGUACUUUUGCCAAUGCAUCGGCUCUCUGUCCUAAAAACCACACCCGAAGAAAGGCCAGCCCAGAGCUGCUAUUCUAGUUAUUAUAGUCAAAAAGAGGCUAGGCAACGACUCUUCUUUGGUUAUUCUAGUGAAAAGAGGCUAGGCAACAACUCCUCUUUUGGCGGGAACACGAGCAAAGGCAACUUCCAAGUCAGCGGGUACUAGCCUGACAGCCCGACCUCACUAAGGAAUAGAAACAUAGAAAGGCCCUCAAUAAAAGGAAAGAAAGAGUCUCUUCCCCGGAAAACUCUCCUCUUGGUCAGCUGCUCCUCGGUCUCGAACGGUCCCCAGUUCGUUCCUUAAAACAAGAAUCCGCGCCUCUGGUCUUGUCUUGAAAUGAAAGCAAUCUCCUCUGGAAAGGCAUUACUGAGACGUCCGAAUCUCUUCUUAUCUUAUAUUCGAAGCAAGGACAUGUUGGCAGUGAAGUUCCACAGACGUGGUCCAGACAGAGACUAUACUUUCCCUUUCCAUUAGGGUUUUCUAUUGACCACAGACACAGUGCCCCAGAAAAGGCUUAGUAUUCGAUACUGUCGCAGGUGUCCCUACGGCUUCAGGCAGUUCUAUAGCCCGUGCCCACUUUCCCCACCGAGUCAAUCAAAAGUGUUUUGCUUUGGCUAAAGCCCUUUUGUAGAUCCAUGUGGGUCUCCGCCUUUGUCUUUUAGGCUAUAAGGUUGGCGCCCCCCUUUCCCCUGCCCCCCUGUCGUUAAAGAACUUAUUUAGACUUUCGCUUUCGGUUUCAUUUCAUCAGCAGUGAGGGUCUAGAAAAAACUCCUUUCACUGGUUUCCCCUAUACCCUAAGCCGGGCGACGUACGGUGUGACAGACAAAGAAGAUAUGCGUGGGAUUUAGUACCUUACGAAGGGGUAAUCCGACAACCUGUUUCAUCCAACGACAUCGAGGGAAACCCCAAGUCUUCGGGGGCAAGUAGACUAAAUGGAAUAUGAAAUCGCGGAUACACUCGGAACCACUCAAAUCAUGACGAGGUGAAAGCAAACUACUGCUGCAUUCUCAAUAUAUCAUAAGAUCGAUCUCAAAGUAAGGGCGGCAACUAUUAAUAUAAAGAAGGAGAGUGCGCGCUUCCCUUCACUGAUAAGACGGUACGAAAAAGAGUCUGCCUGCAUGAUCGUCCGCUACCUUAGAUUAUACAUCUGUCUUCGCCUAACCAACAUUACUGCAUUGGAUACUAGUGCAUACAGAGAAAAGCCCCUCUCGCUCAAGAUUUCAGGAGGUUACGACCUACUUUUCCUACAAAAACUCACCGCUUUAACUAACUGAGCUGCUUCCACUCCUUAAAGCACUAUCGCUUCCUACUGCUUUAAGUACCAAAAUAGUAUUAGCAUAUAAUAAGAUGAAGAUGCUCGAAAGGGUUCUUUGUCAAGCCAGAAAGCGCAAACCAAAGUUUUUCGAGAGGCCGACCACUUGAGACGGGUAUAAGAACUCACCCUUGUUAGGAAGUUUCCAGAGGGGCGCUUCAAUAGUGUAGAAAUGGGAAUCAAAGACGGAGGAGCCUAGCCUGAUUCUCCUGCUUCCUUCCUUAUCGCUAACCGAUGCUAAUCAUGCUUGACUUUACCUCUGAGAUUGUCCCCAGGCCCUUCUCCUACCUCUAUUGAUGGAAAAUAAGUAGGUCUGUGGUAAUGUCAAAGGUUCCCCACACCUUCUUUGUCUGAGUGCUGCCUCCUUCCUUCUUCCCGUCAAUCAUCGUUAAGGGUUUCAAAUCCAUAGGCGCUGCUAAAAUGGCUUCUUUCUGCCUUGGCUAUAGGAACAUAAUCUCCAUAAUAGGGCGGUUUGCUUCUGAGUAGUUCUGUCCUUCCCUCCCCUAUCCGAGAUGUGCUCUUGAAAGAUCUCCCUCUUCAGCUUGGUUAGGUCUUAGAGAAGUCACUUCUUUACCUAAGGUUGUAGCCAAGGGGAUACUUGAUUCUUCUAACAAAGAAGUAGCCAAGGGGAUACUUGAUUCUUCUAACAAAGAAAGCAAAGGAAAAUCUAUUAUGAGAGAAUCUUCCUUCAAAGAUGCUUUUCUCGAUUCCCCUACAUCUACGAAUGGCUAAAUGCUUUCUCACGUAGGGCUUACUAUAAGGGAGGGGUUCCGCUUUCUUUCAUUCCUAAAGAAGGAAGGGGAAGGUAUUUCCUCAUAAAGGAGUUUGUUCUUAGUAGCAGCCGGAUACCUUUAAAGAGAUAAGUCUACCUUUGUUCCAGCCAUUCUCAAGAUCUUUCAUUUCCGGUUUCAUAAGAGAGGAUAGCAUAUAGCUUAGCCUCAUUCCUAUAGCUCAUAGAGAAGUUCCUCUUAUCCAGCAUAUUUACAUUAGUCAAAUCCUACUGGUCGAUCAAUGGUUGUGCUUGAAGCCUUAUUCUCUGUAUCAGGCAAGAAGAGGAAAGGAAGGUAAGUUCGAGAUAUAUCAUAAGAAAGAGAAGAAAGAAAGAGAUGAACUCUUUAUAAGAAAGAGAAGAAAGAAAGAGAUGAACUCUUUGGAGCGCUUCUCGGCGGUAAGACAGACCGUGAAUGAAUAAGAAAGAAAGAAGAUAUAGUUCUAUUUCCUGCAUGAGGGAAAUCGACCGAUGGACAUGCUUGACUUUACGUAUAAGUAGUGCUAGGAUUACUUGCCUUAUUACAUAUGUCUUGCUAGUAUAUAGCAGUAGUCGGAGUAGCACUAGGAUAAGUCGGGGUCAGCACUUAGUAAACCUUUCCACUCAUACUUAAUAGUAUACCAUCACUGUUAGCAGACUGUGCCAUUCCUUACACUGUUAGAAUAACUUCUCAUCUCCCACCUUCUAUAAUGCGCAUAUUGAGACUGAGCUUGCUUGCAUUAAGCCUAUCGCCUGCCUCCCUAAGACCUUUCUAUUGUGCCUGUCGUUAACUCCAGUGUACCUUCCUUUCGGAGAGUGCCUUACUCUGAAGUAAUAGACUGAUUAGAUUGCCGGGAGUGGAUUCUUCUUUUUACCAAACAUAUGGGAAAAGGAUCCAAUCCAAUGACUUCGAAAGAAUGGAACGAGGAGCAUUCCACGGCCGGGGGAACAGAGGUAUCUCAUGGUUAGUUCUGUAGAGUAGCAGUAAGUGGGGAAUACUAGCUUGCUUUAGGAACUUACUAACUUCGCCGAGGUAACUAUGUCCUCAGCCGAGCCAACUUCAUCAGCAGUUCUAUAUAUGGGUGUUGUCGACACAAGAGAAGAAGCACAAUCCGGAUUAGCAGAUGUGUUUUCAAGUCCACUAUACUCAAUAAUUAGCUUUGCAUUAAAGUCAAGGUUGUCGACAGGAGAAUCUCAAGUGUCUUUCUUUUCUUCUAUACCAAAAGCUCAAUAAGAGAGAUAUUCAAUUCAAAGGUAGACAUCAGAAGAUGCUGUGCCAGGUAAAGUCAAGUUCCGGGAAAGAAUCUAUUACUGGCCGGGGAAGGUAAGAAGAAAAUACUGGCUACGCGGUUCAGGGAAGAGAAUAAUAAAGUACUUCCGAAGCAAGGUGUCAUGGAGACGCGACAUCAAGCCAAUAAUCUCUCUAUACUGUAAGUUAAGGGUUUAGGGCCGCCGGUGACGAAGAAAACACUUUGAUCAGGGUCCUUACACCUUUCCAUACUAUAUGCAAAAGAGAGAGAUUCCGCAAUUCCAGAAUCCGCUGGAGAAGGUUAGGAAGCAGUUCUGGUUUUGCCGACGAGAUCAGUAGAGUAUCUUUCCGUGCAAGUGAAGUCUACGAGAUCAUCCGGAUCUGAAUAAGAAGGGAAGGAGUGGAGUCAGAAGAAAAUAGCCAGUACCAUCUUCUGCCCUACCCAAAAGAAAGUAAUCCUUCCUUGCCUACCCAAAAGAAAGUAAUCCUUCUUUGCUCUUCCUUUCAUGGGGUUUAUUCUGCCGCAAUCCUUCUUUGCUCUUCCUUUCAUGGGGUUUCUUCCGCCGCCCUUAUUAUCUGUCAACAAACAAAGCAUUAGUUUGAGAGUGAGAUUCUGGAAAAGGAACUAAAGCAGAGGCUUUAGAAAGAGGAUCCGACCUCCCGAGCUUAUUAUCUUUAGAAAGAGGAUCCGACCUAGCUUAUUAUCUGUCUUCGGCAGGCAGGAUCGAAUGAGGAUGAUGGGACGAAUGAAUGCUUUUGAAACUACAGUUAAGAGCUUGCUUCAUUUGAUGCUAAGGAACGGAACCUUACUUAUCUAAGUUGCCGGAUAGUGGGAUAUGCCGUACUCUGAUUCAACCGCUUAUGUUCUUCGCCAAUGUUCCAAGGAUAAGGUUGAACACCUUCUAACAUAUACUUACGGACUACUCUGUUUUCUCACUUUUCGAAAUGCUCCUAAGGUAAACAACAUUUUGGACUAGUGGAAUUAGGAGACAAUCUUCUAAAUGUGCCAAGAAAGAGGUGCCCCAAUAGAUAGCUCUGCGGGACAGAUUCCUUCUUUGAGGCUUGGUAUGAUACGGUUCAGUUCCCUUUCUGCAAGGGCGGUGGGCCUGGACAAGUACGCUACUAAAUUCCACCGGAGUACUAAGAUCUAGAUCGAGACUAAGCUCUCAGCCAAGGAUAACUUAGAUGGGCUUCUUUCCCCACUAUUCAAUCCUUAGUUAAAGGGGCCGGUCCGAAAGCUCCGUUUUCUAUACAGCCGAACGCAUAAUUCCAGUUAUUUAUUGUCUCCAGAAAGCGAAACUACUAUCGUUACGCUGCACCAUCAUACGCAGGAAUGGAAUAUAGAGAACCGCUUCUUUAAUACCUUUCAAUAAACUCCUCACUUAGACAUGGCAAAACGGGACCCAUAAUAGGAACCCGUGGAUCUGAAGUCAACGCAGAAGGAUUGGAUUAUGCCUGAAUUAAUAGUAAAGGCCCUGCUUUCCAGGGGUGGAUUAGAGUUAGCAGAGAUGAAGGAAGUCGGGGGUGCUCCUACU